rnacentral:lncRNA from 1 species
UUUUUUUUUUUUGCUAGAGUUGUAGAUGAGUGGAUUUUCCAUCAUGCUCACAGGACCAAGCAGAUUCAGAAGCUUUCUCAUGGACUUUAAUUAUCCAAGGUUUUCUAGCAACACAGGGGACGUUUGGCCAACCAUUAGGCCCGCCGAUCGGGUGGUCGGUAACCAGAUCAGUCUGGGACUCUUGUUUCCACCUUCUGGUGCCGCAAUGGCACAUGACGGCCAUCCACCUUUAGAGGAGCCACUGUACUCCAUCCCUCAAAUUCCACCAGGUGAAUGUCAUGCAGGAGUCACCGACUUGAGCUGUGCUCUCUCUCUUCUGUCAACUCAACCGCCAUGGAGCAGCAACACCACUCUCCGGAAUCAGACUUCAACCUCCUCAGCAAGCAGCAGCUUCGAUGGCACCUCAACAGCGCAGCCAGCCAUUUCGAACACUUGCAUGACGAACCAAUGGAGUUUUAUCGGUAACGGAGGAAGGAGGAGUAACUCUCAAAAUGUGCAACGGGACAUGGGUUUAGCCACAGUGGCAGCCGAGGAUGUCCAUGGUCAGUUCUCAGGUGAACUGGAAUUAGCUCGACAGGGGAAUGGGCAGUGCCUCGGCCAUGUCAUGCACUGGUCACUCUAGAGCAUCUGUUUUCUCUCUCCUUGGAGCUGUCAAUGAUGUGUUUUUGGAUUGUGAUAGUGCGAGGAUUUGGACUGUUAAGAAGCAUCAGCUCAUCCUUGUGCGUGUGAUGGUUUAUGUAAAGAUCAUUGGAUCUCAAAACUAGUUGAGUUGUAAUGUUUUCUUUUGGUGCUAAGUUGCAACAUCUCUCUCAGUGAUAGAGAUGUUUGUAAGGAGUCGCACCAUUGACUUUGGUAGCGUUCACUGUACUAGAGAGGAGACUAAGAAGAGGUCUUUUAACUGCUACCGUUGUUUAUAGAUGGUUAAGCUUAUUAGGUCAUGGAUGACUCACAUGCUUAGCUCACCCUUUUGUUGCUGAUGUGGAGUUAUUAUCUUUUUUUUAAUCUUUUUCUUGUUUGAUUAUUGUAAUAUUUGAUCUAGUCCUGACCUCAGCUCCAAUCAGAAUCUAGCGCAAUCAGAAUCGGCGAUUCCCGUUGGAUUUUGAAUCAACUAAAAAAAAAAAUAGUUUCAUGGAGUAAUCAUUUUAAAUUUAAUUUUUCUUUUUGUAAUUUAUUUUUUAGACUUUAGGGUCUUAUCAUUUGGUAUCAGAGGUCGAUCCCCUCGAAGCGAUCAUUAUCAUCCUCAUUUCUUCCCUUUCUUCGACGAUAAGACUUUAGGGUCUUAUCAUUUGGUAUCAGAGCCUACGAUAAGACUUUAGGGUCUUAUCAUUUGGUAUCAGAGCGGUGAUCCUGGCAAAGAAAGAAAGAAUUCUUUGUUAUCAAUAUAAACUGAUGAUUCCAAAUGGUCUUAUCAUUUGGUAUCAGAGCGGCGAUCCUGGCAAAGAAAGAAAGAAUUCUUUGUUAUCAAUAUAAACUGAUGAUUCAAUUUGGAAUCGCUCGGAAUAGAUUCGAUUUGGAUUGGUUCCAAAUUUGAUAGAACGGAAAUUGUGGUGAGGGCUAAUCUGAGCAAGUCCACUUGUUUCCCUACUAAGAUUAAGGAAGGGUGGUAAUAUAUUGCUAUCAACGUAGGUGCACCACCUUCCCUCUAAUUAAAUCACUACACAGCUCAUUUCUCUCUCCCCUUCUAUAUAUCUAUCUAUCUAUCUGUAUAUAUGGGGGCUUGAGCCAUAUAGUCCUUCAAAACCAAGAUUGAAGAGGUUUCGUAUAGCCCCAAGCUUGGACUCCAUGCCGCUCACCGCCAUCUUCUUCCCCCUCUUCGUGCUACUGUUAGUGGCAGCACCGCCAGCUGAUGCAGUGGAGCAGAAAGCUGUCAUUUUUUUCAAUCGAAGUAAUUUCCAGUCCACGUUUGUCUUCGGGGCAGCCUCCUCAGCUUAUCAGGUCACACCUCUCUCUCUCUCUCUCUCUCUCACACACACACACACAUAUAAAGAACCAUUUAAAAGAGCGUUGUAAAUCUUCCAAAGAAAAGAUAAGAAAAAGUGAGUUCAAAUAAGACUAAUUAUCCCAAGUGUUGUGGAAUUUUAAGAUCGUGAGUUGGCUUUUGUUGCACUCACAGUAUGAAGGAGCAGCUGCAGAAGGCGGUAAAGGGCCAAGUAUAUGGGAUACCUUCACCCACAUGCACCCAGGUCUCAUCUCCCAGUAUCCUAAUUAGAUGAAAGCAGUGAUAAACUAGUAGUAUAUAAUUUGCAGAUCAUGUUGAAGCUUUUGAAGAUGUUCUCUUCUUCCUUGUAUCUUGGAACACUCAGAUCAACCUAUUGGAUUGUUUCUUCAUGUCAAUUCAUUUCAUCUAACUUUAUCGUUAUUCUUCAGAAGUGAUCGCAGAUAGAAGCAAUGGAGAUGUGGCCGUAGAUUCUUAUCAUCGUUAUAAGGUAGCAUAGUGACUGCUAUCCACCAAAUGUUGAGUUCCCCUCAGAGUCUUGCAUGAGUCACUAAUGUGUUGGAAGCUGCAGGAAGAUAUAAGCUUCUUGAAGUACAUGGGAAUGGACGCUUACAGGUUCUCCAUCUCUUGGCCCAGGAUUCUACCAAGUAAGGAAUUGACCCUACCACAAAACCUUGAAGCACGCAGGCACUUAACUAGUCUCCAUGCUCUCAACAAUGUCAGGUGGAAGUCUAAGUGGUGGAGUUAACAUGGAAGGCAUACGAUACUACAACAACCUCAUCAACGAUCUCAGAGCCAACGGUGUGUGUGCCCGUUAAAGAUCUCGCGAGCAUUCUCUGUUCUCCUCGAAGUUGAUGUGGCUUUUAUGAUCGACGUGUGCAGGGAUGAAGCCCUUCGUGACCCUCUUCCACUGGGAUCUUCCCCAAGAACUUGAAUCGCGAUACCAAGGCUUUCUUAGCCCAGCAAUCGUGUAAGUUGCUCUUGAAUCUUCUAACCUAAAACAAACGGCAGCAUCACGUCUACAACAUGAAUGAACCCCCUCUUGACCCUGAUCGGAAUCUACAGGGAUGACUACCGUGACUACGCCGAGAUCUGCUUCAAGGAGUUUGGAGACCGGGUGAAGCAUUGGAUCACAUUCAACGAACCAUGGACGUUCUGCCGGAGUGGGUAUCUCUUUGGUGUAUUUGCGCCCGGGAGGUGUUCUCCGCCGUGGGCAGCUCGUCGGUGCAGCGAGGGCGACUCAUCUCGAGAGCCUUACCUCUGUGCUCACCACCAACUGCUGGCCCAUGCAGCUGCCGUGAGGUUAUACCGAGACAAGUAUCAGGUAAUUACUAUGGAGCUAUCACGAGACUGCCUGUUUUCUUCUAGUCGUUGAUUGCUUGUCCUCAGGCAUCUCAGCGGGGAGAUAUAGGCAUAACGCUCAUCAGUCACUGGUUCGUGCCCUACGAGAACUCCAAGUCGGAUGCUGAUGCAGUUGCACGAGCUUUAGAUUUCAUGUUUGGAUGGUGAGUGGGGGAUCAACACCAACAACGAAGUCUUCCUCUGUGAGAUCUUAGCUAGCUUGUUGAUGCGUUUCAUGUAGGUUUAUGGACCCCCUGAGUCAAGGAGACUACCCAUUCGUGAUGAGGGCGCUCGUCGGAGACCGUCUGCCGGAAUUUACAGCAAAGCAAUCUGAAAUGGUUAAGGGGUCAUUCGACUUCAUAGGACUCAACUACUAUACGACAUACUACGCCAAUAGCAGCUCUCCAACAACAGUUCGUGGAAGCAAUUCCGAUUCAUACACUUACCAAUCAGGUAAACCACACUCAGCCGCAUCCAAUCCUCUAUCUUUCUGGUUUCCUUUCUUUCUUUCUUAGAACAAAGCUUGCUGCGUGUGGAAGAUGCUGCGUAUUGCAGCUCAACAAAAGUAGUUAGGGCAUGAGUUACGUAUUCUUUCUUUUGCCCACCUGCAUAUGUAGUAUAGUUAUCUGCAUUCAUCUUUCUCGGAUCUUACGUUGAUGGUGUUUUGGCACAUCGAGCAGCCCUUUUCUUAACAUGUAAAUGGAAUGUUGUUCAUGAUGGGCAUCCUCCUCUGACACCAAUUCUUCUCGAUCAACAGGUCAGCGUGGAAGGAUUCCUAUUGGCCUCCAGGUAAGAUUAUUAGAUAGAACACUGUCACAAAUAUGAUCAACUCAUGCUGUUCUUCCAAGAAAGCUGUACCGACGCAAACUUUUGCUACACAUCCUCCUAAUCAAAAGAAUAAAACUAGGAGGUUAUCUUGUCAUAUCGAUCCAUGAUAUAUACGAUCAACUUGAUCUAAAACUGGUCAAUGAAUGAUGGGUAUGUGAUGCAGGCUGCAUCCAAUUGGAUCUAUAUUUACCCAAGAGGCAUCAGACAGCUUUUGCUAUAUGUCAAGAGCAGAUACAACGAUCCAAUCAUCUACAUCACAGAAAAUGGUAAUCUCUAUUCACCAAUGCAUGUAGAACGCAUGAUAUUUAUAUCAGUGUUGUUUUGGAGUUAGGAGUGGACGAGGUCAACAACGCGUCAUGGCCACUCGACAAAGCCCUACAAGAUGACACGAGGAUCGAUUACCACAGGAGACAUCUAUCCUUCGUUCUCGAAGCCAUGAGGUGAGUUGAGGCCUGAGUUGGACAACAUAGAUUGAAUUGAGUUGAGGAUAUGAACUCGCCGUCGUCGUCCUAUGUUUUGGUGUGCAGUAAAGGGGCGAAGGUGAGAGGAUACUUUGCAUGGUCGUUGCUGGAUAACUUCGAGUGGAUCAGCGGAUACACUGUUCGCUUUGGAUUGGUACAUGUGGAUUACAAAGAUGGGUUGAAAAGAUACCCCAAAGCCUCCGCUCAUUGGUUCCAAGAGCUGCUUAAAAAUUAAGGAUUUCCAUAUUAAUAAUAUAUAGAUCGCUCAUAAUUUGGGAUUAUCGAUCAUGCUGUUCAAGCAACUCAUGUAUUUGAAACUUAUUUUUAUCUCUCUUUGUUUGGUAAUUGAUAUUAUGCAAUAUCCUCUUAAUAUCAUUUUAAGGGAUAUAGAUGUAUUGUAUUAUUUUCUAAUAGUUUAAAUGUUUGCUGAGAAUGCUCUUAACCCAGUCUUUUUGCUUUUAUUAUGAAGCUUACUAUUGACAACCUCCUUUUUUUUCUUUUUUUUUUACUAUUGAUAACCCCUUAAAAGAAAUAAUAAAAUAUUAUUUUAUUAUUUAUAGUUCUAAUAUUAUUUAUUUUAUUUUAUUUUCUCAUAACUCUUAUGUCGACAUCGCUCUUUACCAAUGUUAUUAUUAUUGUAACACCUCCGAUUAAUCUCAUAUCGAAAGUGGACAAGAUUAAGAUUGAUUUAUAAGAGUUUGAUGAAUAUAUUACUAUCAAUUUCUGAUUUAAACGUUAGAUGGAUUAGAUAUCUUGUUCAAUUGUAGUUCUUGAUAUAUUUUGGAUAAAGAAAAGAGGGGUGAGUCGUUCAUAUCUAUAAAAUUGAUGAUUCCUAAAGUAAAUUCCUAUAUUUUAGAUAUUUUUUUCUUGAUAACACUCUUUAUUUUCAUAAUGGCGAUGGAGAGUCGCUGGUUUUUUUCAAGGACUCAAAAUGCCCUGCAUGAUGAAAAUAAUAGAAAAGAAUAAUUAUUGAAGAAGCUUUAUUGAAGAAGCUUUAUGGAAGAAGUGAAAAAGCUUAAAUAUAUUAACAUGUCCCUCUCCUAUUUAUACAGAUUAUGAGGAUUUUCCUUAACAGAAUAGAGAGAUUUUCUCAUAUAGUUGAGGAAAUCGUAUCUUCUAUCAUGCCCCUGCAAGAUGGUGCUCCUGUUAAGGAUACCAAUUUUGGAUCGAUGCAAAGAAUGAUUUACGAGAGAGGCUUCGUGAGUAAAGCAAGAGCACAUCGCUACUGCUGCGAUUGCUAUGAGGGCACAAGCGUUCUUUUCGUUCCCCUUAAGUUCGCCCUUCGUUCUCCUUAAGUCUGCCGACUGUUGGCAUAUCAACGAAGACUAUUGCGGUAAGGAAGAUGAGGAUUGGCCGUAGAGCCUCUUAGGAAUUUGGCUGCAGCGGCGUUGGUCGCUGGCCGAAGGCAAGGGCAAAGCUUUGCUUUUCUCAACGACGUUGGUCGCCGGCCGAAGGCAAGAGUUCAGCCAGCGCGAAGCUUCGCUUUUCUCACUGCUCUGAUACCAUAAUAAAAGUAAUAGAAGAUAAGAACAAUUUUUAAAGAAGCUUUAUUGAAGAGGUUUUAUUGAAGAAGUGAAAAAGCUUAAAUACAUUAACAUAUCCCUCUCCUAUUUAUACAUCCUAUUUAUACAAAUUUAUACAUCUUAUUUAUACAAAUUAGGAGGAAGAAUUUCCCUCAACACUAUAGUAUAGUAUCAAGAACAUCGUAAAUUCAUUCAAAAACACUAUAAUCAAAACAAUUAGUUUAAUUUAAUUUGGUAACUCUCUCUUAUCAUAUAUUUUGUGGUUUCAUAAAAUGAUUUCCUUGAAAGUUUCGGAAUGAAUUUGGAGGGUUGUUUUGGCAUAAUUUUACAAAUUCCUGAUUUCAUAAGAUCAUGUGUUUUGAGGUACGAUUUUGGUUUUUUUUUUUGUAAUGAUAUCUUCCGAGUUCCACUUCUCGUGUGGAUGCUGCAGUGGGUUGCUCUUUGGUCGGCCCAAUGGGCCUCAAAGCAGAUAUAAUAUGACAUGGUUGACAAAGUAGCAGGUAAGCAAUUCUUUUCUACAAUCAAACGAAGAAUAUAUGAUCAUUUUAUAAAGCUGUUGAUAUAAGGCAAAUUCAUAACUAAGUCGCUGUUGUCCUCAGCAACAUCACAAAAGGAAACAUCUUUUUCACUAAAGCUCUUUUUUUUCUGAAAAUACAAUGGAUAGUCAGUCCUAUGAAAUACUCAGGCUAGCAGACAAUGGGAGACAUCUUGUCUGUGAAGGGAAAAUUUUGUAAGAUCUAGCAGAGAUGACGACAGGAUGUAAGCCAUACUAAUUCCUGGUAAUCAGCAAUACCUCACGAACUGAUGCUAGCAGUUAACAAUGUGUUGAUCUCUCCAAUUAUGUUGACUGGUCUUCCGUCAAACAACGAUGACAAGGUUGUCUCACAAAGCGUCUUCAGUUCCCUGGUUUUAGCAAUGGCUGCUUCCUGGAAAAUAUCAUGUUCUUCAAUUAUUACCCAUAAAGAUGUAAUUGUGAUAUAAUUAUAGGAUGACUCCAAAUCUUCAUAGAGUAAGACAAUCACAGCAAAACCAUAGGUGAUCGGCAAAAAGUGCUUGACUUCAUGGUCGUCACAUGUGGUCAACCACCUAAUAUCAUAAUAGCAUUCAACUUUUCAUGCAUGUGUGCUGCAUAAAAAACAAGGCUAAACGUAGCAGAACUGUUAAAGCAUAGAUCCCAAUCUACCUCAUGUAAUGAACCUACAUGUGCUGUUACGAGUAGCCAUGUAGUUUAAACCUCAUAAGUGGCUAAAUAAUAUGGAUCCUUCUAAUCGAGAUGCAAUAUGAAACACCUAUUUAUUGCAUACCACAGGUUGGUUUAUGCCUGGUGAAUCCUACUGCAACAUCUCAGAUGGGCAAAACUCAAGAUUAUUUCUUGCAGGCUCCAAGCCAACUUUUGCAUAUAGUGUUUGCAUCACAUAUACCAGAAAUGCUUUCUAAAGAUGACAUCAACAAAAGCAGAAAUGUGUCACUCACAUGCUUAGGCCAGGAUGAUGACAACGUAUUCUGCAGCUCAACACGUCUAACUGACAAAUCAUUCAAGCUUUCACGAAGCUUAACUUCAUGAUUUUUCUUCUCCUCCAGCGUGAGCACCAGUCUGUCGAGAAAUCUGAGUAAAAGGAAUACAAACAAAGUUAAAUAAGAAUAUAAAACCUAUAAAAGAAAUCACUCACGCAACAGAGAAAAAACUUGAGUGAACAUCAAAUUUUUUCAAAUAAAGUUUUUCAAAUUCAAUGAAUGAAGUAUUCAUACAUAUAGCAACCAAGGAAAAUGAUAAGCAUCACAAAGUGAAUCAUGGGCACAACUGUUUACCUUUUGGAAUUAAGUAUCAUAAUCAAGUCACGCAUUUUGCGGUCUGUGAGCAUGGAUAGGGCAGAAGAUAUCUCAGAUAUCAUCAACUGUACAACAUCAGGGGAGUAUUGUUGCAGAACAGAAGGAGCUACUGCCUGAACUUGAUGCUGUAAGGAAGAAGUUUCUUCACUUCUCAUCUCUAUCGACCGCUGAUUUAAAAAUGAUUUGACCUAAAAAAUUUAUUGGAGAAUACCCUUAGUCCGACUAGAUUUAACAGUACAAAUAACUCAACAAUUCAAGCUUGCAGUUGAGAAGAAAAAAAGCACAAGGGUCAUCUGAAAAAAUCAAUUACUGCUAGAUGCACAGUGAUUAAUGUCCCAGUUACAAAUUAUGAGAAAAAGGAAAACUAAAUGAUAAUGAUUAUAUGGUUGAUAUAUACUUCAGGAAAGUCAACAAUGGACAUAUUACAGAAGAUUUUUAUUUGGAUCAAAUUUGUCCUUGAGCAUAUAAUAGCAAAAUUAUGUGGCUCCACUUUUAACAAAACUAAAUUAUAAACCAGAGCUACAAAUUAUAUUCAAUAAUCCAGAAAGUGUUCCACCAAAAAAUUAUCAAAAAUCACCAGGCUUGACUUUGGCACAAACAGAACUAUUUUACUACACACAUAUCAUGCUAAUGCAGGUUAUAGGGAGAGUCCAUGUACAUGGACUUACCAAUGGUUAUCAGAACCGGACAGCAUUGGUCAAUUCAAACAAAAAACCAUGAACCAAAUCAAACACCGAUGCUAUUCCAUUAAUUUGUAUUAGAAAAAGGGGCUGAACUGACUAGCUUGUUUGAUUCUUUAAUGAACCAUGGAAGCCAGAUUAACAAGAACCAGCCAGUUUUUAAAUGCAUGGAAAAGUCAAUAACAUCCUGUCGAGAUGAAUCAUUUUAGGAGCACUUGAGUAAUAUCAAUAUCAUUAAUUAAAAAAAAAACUUUGUAACCACCUUAUAGGUCCUCUCCCAGCCCACUGAUCCUUGUCUCAUAUGGCCAUAGAUGCCCCAUCAUGCCCAAGGAGGAGGACGAGGAGGACAAGGAGGAGAGCAGCAGCAGAGGAGGAAUGGAGAAAGAUGGGGGAGAAAAGAGAAAAGAACAGAACAAGGAGGAGAAAAGUAGAGGAAGGAAGAAAAGAAGAGAGGAAGGAGGAGAAGAUCAGCGGAAGGAAGAAAAGAAGGGUGGGAAGAGAUGCAUAGGGAGAAAAAGAAGAUAUAGAAGCAAAGAAAGAGGUUAGAAGAGUAGAGGAAAGAAAGAAAACAAAUAAAAAAAUGUGAUUUUUAAAUAAUAAAUAUUAUAAUAUUAUUCUAUUAAAUCUCUAGUCCGAUGGAUUAACCUGCUGGUCAAUAACUGAUCCAAUUCUAAUCUGUUGCAAGCAGAGAUGCCAACCCUGAGGCUUGAACUAACCAUUGACCCUCCGAAACUGCAUGGAAUUACAUCAUGGGUAAUGCUAUGCUACAUAAACCUAGCAUUGUAACCAUAAGCAACUAAUAGAUGGAUGGAGCAUGUUGGUGAUUAUAAAAGAGGUUUUGAUAGAAAAGACAAUUCUAUAGUCAUUAAGAAAAGUUUCUGAAAAAAGAAUAAAAUUACAACGCAUACAGCCCAACGGCUUCAUUCCAUUAACUGAUAAAAAGAUUAACAUGAUCACAUGAAAAGAAUAAAUUUAUGGAUGGGGGAAAUCCCAUAAACAUGCCUAUAUGAAUGAACCACUAACCAAAUAGAUUUGGACAUAAGUUCAAGCUUCCUAUUGAUAAUGCCAAUCUUUUAUCUCACAAGUAGGUAUAUCCAUUAAGAAUAUGAACAAUAAAUAAACACAGUUAGAAACACAUACAUUUAUGCUUAGACAUACAAACACUAAAAAAGUGUUUAUAGAUCUACAUGCAAAUAUGGACAAAUGUUCACAAGGGCACAUAUGUAAGGAACACAAGUUGGAGAAUAUAUUGCAAUGUACCUCAAACAAAUCAUCAAGUAUCUUAUUCCUGAACUCUGUCUCCAGUAAUUGACUUCUUUCUUCAAAACUUUCGGAUUGUGAAGUUUCAGUUGGAUUUGGUUUAUCUAUUCCAACAACUGGUACAACAGCAUCUUCAAGCAUAUCAACUUGAGGAUUUUCAAGACUAAUAUCCCAGCAUAUUUCUGAUUCUGAAGCUUCGGGGACAACACCCUCAGUUUUUUUUGAUGAUGUGUUAUCAUAUAGCAGAUCUUUGCCAUUUUCAGAAUCCUUUAAGUCUACAUUAUAAUCAAUUAUUUCAUAAGACCCAAAGCUAUUGCCUGAUUCUUCAAGUUGCUCAACAGCAUCAACAUCCCAAUCGAUUUGGGUAUCAUCUACAGAAAUAUUCCAGUCAAUACCACCCAUGGGAAGAAUAGUAUCCAUAGGUGUCCCCGCUGAAACAUGGACAUCUGACAUUGACAUGUCACUAAGAGAGUUUUGGACCUCAGCAGACAUUGAUACAUAAAGAGAAGGUGGAUUUUCAUGAAGGUGCCUAAGAUUUUCAAGCACAGAACCAGGACUUUUCUGCAAUACCAGAAUAAAAAGUUAAAGACUCGGAAUAAUGAUUCCAUGCAUAUCUUGAUUUACUAUGGCAAAUGACUUAUAUAUGCAUAUGAAAUUGUUAUGUAGAAACCUCUUUCUCUGUAUGAACAUCUUUAACAAAGUUCUGAUAAUAUUCCAUGGCCUUAAACAUGGAAUCACUAUUAAGAACUUCCAAAAUUUUGCUGAAGGUAGAAGGAAGAGUCUUGGCAGCCUCCAGAAGUUCCAAUCUUACGUUAUUCCCCUGCAAAGACAAAGGCAAGUUCGAAACUUUAAACUGAACUUUAACAAAGCAUCAUUUGUAGCAUCAGUAAUCACAUAAAAGUUCAAACAAAACAUUCAAACUUAUAUAUAUGCACAACUUGAAGACCAGAAACCUGACCUGCAAACCAAGUUCUUGACAGGCUUCAGAGUAUUUAGCAGCAGAUAGAGCAGCAUUUCUUUUAAUAUCGGUCUCCUUGCGUUCUAGUUCAGCUAAUUGUUGUUGAACCUUUUGCAUCUGUUUUUUCUGAUAUGGACUUCAGCAAGCAUGUCAUCACGAGUGAAAUCAGUCAGAACUAUGAGAUAAUCUCUUACACUGUAAUUUAAAGAAAAAGAAGCAUACAUUUCAUAGUUAACAUUCUGAACCAUAAUUUGAGCUGCCUCGCCAAGAAAAAUAUGGUCCUUCUCAAAGGAUCGCACAAUUGACUCCCAUUCUCCCUGCAGGAAGAUUUAUUAUGCUCUAUGCCCAUGAACAUGCAUUGUUAAAAAAUAAAAAAGUUAAUAUGGAUCCAAAACACUUACGGCAGAACCUGAUAAUCUUCCAAAGAUAUUACGACUUUCUGUGGUCGAAUUUAAAAGAAUGCUAUAUAUAUUCUUUGCUUCCAGAUAGCCAAUUUCUGAAGACAAAUCCAUAACACAACAAACAAAUCAGAACCAGUAAAUGAAAGAUGUCUCAUCCAUGACUGAAACUUCUCUUGCCAGAGUGGUAUCAUAAAGGAUUGUCAGAAAAGAGGGCCAAGGAAUACACAAAACCAUGCACAAGGAAGUAAUGUUUGUGCCAAUUAAAUAAGGCAAGGAUUCCAUGCAUCUUACAAGAAUCCAUAAGCAAAAAACGACAUUCCGAAUCUCAUAAAUUCUAUUCAAUCAUUUAUUAAUUAUAAUUUGUCUACGUCCAAACUUUUAGAAUCUGCAGAAGCAUGGCAUGAUGAUAACUAAGUGCUUAUUCAUCCACUAAGCUAGAAAAGAUGAUAUGAUGAUCCAAUUAGCCAUCCUUAUGACAGUCAACAUGAACACAUCCAAAAAGAGAAUGGUUUCACACCAAAGAUCUAAUAGGAAAUUUCUAAGCUUGAAAAGAAAAGAAUAUUCCAAGUGGCAUUCAAAGCCUUAGUCUGGCAAACUAGUCUGCCAGAGCAAAGCCAUGAGACACACAAUUCUAAAAGGAUUUUGACCACAAUAAAUCAAAAAACAAAAGAAAUAUCAACUAUUGAUGUUCUUCUCUUAUAUUUGAUGUAUAGGAAAAUCAUUUUUGUUUCAAGAAAGCUGGGAAAGAACAGCCUCAGCCUCACUUUUAUUUUCUUAAAAUUAAUAUUAGAAAAUUAUUAGCAUACCUAGAAUUUUAUCCAUAGAACAAGAAUUAAUAUUGCAGAACACUGACAAAACAUUAAUUCUCAAUUAGUUUGGAAAAUAAACAAUAGUGCAUUGUUUUGCGUGUAUUAAAAAGUAGAAACAAAGGAUAAAAAGAGGGGAAAAUAGAAAUAUGUAAUAGAUAACAAUGUAUCAAAUGUACUAAGAAGUAGAAAAGACUGAAGAAAACAUUAUGAUUCUAAACUUUUGAUUAGAUAACCUCAUAAAUAUUUCCACAGUAGUGCAAUUAUCCUUCACUAACCAAGAAUCACCCAUGAUGUACACAUCAAAUUGCAAAACGGUUGUAUCUGGCAUUUGGAGUACAUAUAUAUUUGAAAAGUAAUAACAAUAGCCACAUAUCCUCCUCUUGUUCUACCUUUCUCAGUCAGCACCUUUGUCUUCCUUCUACUUAAAAAUCAGGAUUUAUGACAGCAAUUGUAGAUAGUCCUUAAAGGAAACUAUUUAUACAGUGUCUCUCUCUAGAUAGCCAUCAUUAAUGGCCUGAGGUUUAAUAAUAUCUGGCAAAGCUAUGGCUGCUUUGAGGGAGCCGGCUGGUAACUUAUAAUUAUUAACAACAUUGCUAGAACACCCAAAAUUAGCUCAUUCAAUAUCUUUUAUCAUCAUUUAUUUAUAAUUCUUCUUGUAUGGUUAAUAUCAAGAAAUUCUCAUUCUUGAUAAUUUCAAUUACGUUAAACAAGCAUAUAAUUUCUCCAAGACUAAUAAAAAAAUUGAAUCUUUUUUCCAAUUUGGUUUUGGAGUAAAUGCAAAGUCGAGUAGGAAACUGGUGAUUCCACCACAAAACACAUGUAGGUUGAUGAAUACAUCAAAGCAGCUCGUUACAUAUUGUCCCAUUCCAUCAUAACGCUACUUUUAUGUCUCAUUUUUUCAGAAUUUCCAUGUAUGCUACCCUAGCAUCUAAACAAAAAGACGUCAAUCUUCUUUUUGGCAUUCUCUGCUACACUUCGUCGAUUCAAAAAAAAAAAAAAAUGAAAUCAGCAACAUACUUAAGCAAUAGCAAACCUCAGAUACCAUGGAAAUGAGAUCAGUUACGCAGAUUAUUGACACGGACAAGAACUACAGGGAAUUUGAGCAGGGAGAGUUACCUUCCGGAUCAAGGGUUUGCAAGAAGGGAUCCAGAUCCCUCGGCAGCGAUGGGAGUGCGGACGAGAUGCGAGCUCUGAUCGCGGUCAGCCGCUUCCUCCAGUCUUGAGGAAUCCUCUUCCGAUCCACCAGCCAUUCUACAAAUUUUCACCAAAAGAAAAAAAUGAAAAAUACGGGAAAAAAAAUGAAAAAGGGACCGAUCGCGUCCUCAAAGGAAUCAAGGAAAAACCAAAGGCAACUGAGAAUGGAGAGAAACGAAAAGGAGGAGACCUCCGAGACGAGCGAAGGCGAUGUCGAUCGGGAGAUUGCGAGUCUCGGCGCCGUCUUGCAUUUUUCGCUUCGAGGAAGCGAGCGGAGGCACUUACCGAUGGCAUCAAAUAAACCGGCGAACCCGCUCGAUUGGGACGGACCGGAACGGGUUCAGCCGGCCCAAGUACACGCCAAGGCCUUCAUCUAUGUGUUAGAGAACUUGCCCAAGCCCAUAUACUAGAAGGCUGUAUGGACCGGAACGGGCUCCAUAUAUGUGGGAGGUCCAUAUAACUCUUUAAGUCUUUUGUUUUUGUUUUCAGUAUUUUUUAUUAAAAAAAAUAUGAUUUCUAUAACAAAUGAUAUUUAUUAUUGAACUAUAUUUUUAUUAAUAAACAAAUUUUUAUUGAACUGUCGAGAUUUAUUGAUGAUGGAGAAUUUUCAUCAAAAUCCCUCCAACAAAUCAAUUAGUAUGGGACUAUAAUCUUUAUCUAUUAUUAUCUUGGGAUAUAUUUCUCAAUUAUUUUCUCUUUAUCUCAUGUAUUUUCAUUAUUUUUUUAUAUUUAAAUUCAAUAUAACUUAAAUUCACUGCUCCAACAUCUUGGAACUAUCCAACUCGGAAGACUGUCCUCCCACCCUACGAUUUAUCGCAUGAGAGAAACAUUCUAUCAGUUCACCUAACACCAGAGACUAAUGCCACCAAUAUGAGCACAUGAGAGCAAUACAAUUUCACUUCCUUGGAUCGACAAUCAAUUGGAACGAUAUGUACUGAUCUAUAUCGAUGUAUCAACAUAUGUAUCGUUAUUUUUAAGAAAAAAAUAAAAAGAAAAAGCGAAAGAAAGAUAAACGAGAGAAAGAAAGAAGAAAAAGUAUAACUAGAAAGUAACGAUAUAAUCAAAAUGAAAAUGACAAUAGCAAUAUCAUAAUAACAAAGAAGCAGUAUGAUUGCAAUGUCAAGUAACGAGGACGAGAACGAAAGCUACGUUAUCAUACAUACUAAGAGAGCUCAUGUUUAUAAGUCUUAAUUUAUCUUUUUCUUAUGUUAAAAUGGAUCGAGACUCAUAUUUUUUUAUUAUUUUAAUUAAAUCAUCAAAAACGAGAAUAAUUCGUAUAACUAUUCAAACCCGAAUCGAUAUCAAUAUCCGAUUUAAUCGAUGCCACCUUACCCCCCCCCCCCCCCCACCGAUGCCACCGUCACCACAGCCAUUAUUAGAUGCAUUCACUGUCUCCGUGUCGCCAGCUGCGAUUGUGUCGAGCCUGCAAAAAGAAAGAACCUUAUCGAAUCUCACUCAUUAUCACCAUAAAAGGUGGCAGAGUAGGAAAAGGUAGACGAGGACAAUAGGCUUUUUUACUCGUUUCUGAUGCAUAGCAGUGAAAGCAUGUGUACGGGGGGAGCUAUAAAGGAUUGGCCGAGUGCGUGUUCAAAUCGACUCCUUUACAGCAAUUUUAUUUGCAAUGUUGACUCCACUGAUGUUUGUCCGGAGCUACUAACUCUUUGAAGACGCCAUAACAGAAGGUGGUAGGGCCAAAUGAUUCACACAAAGGAUAGAAUGUCUUGUAUAUUAGAGUUGUAAUUAUUUUCUCCUUUUUCUUUGAAAUGUUGGAAGGCAAAAGAUGAAGAUGAAGAUGAAUUUUAAUCUGAUGUAUUAUCUGGCUUCAAAUUUUCAACCCUUAGUAUGUGAGUCUCGUAUACAAAAUCAAACUAAUAUUUUUUUUUAUGUAUAGAAAUAUAUUAUAUAAUAUUUUAAACUCUUAAUAUUUUAAUAUUACUUGAUAUCAUCCUGAACUUUUUAUAUUUUACAAAAUUCUUACCUAUGUUCGAUGGAUGAAUGAUAAUGUGUGUUACGAAAACAAUCAAGAGGUAUAUCAAUUUUGAUCGAUCAAUAGACUUGGCUUUAUAUGUAGGAAUUGAUUUCACAAUUCAUAAUUAGAAUAGUAUGUGACUAGUUAUGAUUUUUUGAGAGGGCUCAAAGUAGUGCAUUAGUGGGACUUACUUGCAUCACUAUGGAGUCUAAUUCUCAAUUUUUUAUGGAUAAUUUUGAACAAAAAAAUUAUGAUCCUGCUAUUGAAGUAAGUUAAACAUGUUUUUAAAUAAGGUUAUAAAGGAUGAACAUCUAUUGAGAUGAUUCCUAGGUAUCGAAAUUUAAUUCUUUUUUAUUAAAAUAUAUUUUUAUUAUAUUAAAUAACAUACAAAAUGCUCAUAUAUAAUUUUAAACUGAAACCUAUAUAUCACUUGUGUAAUACACAAAAAUAAAUAAUAAUAAAUAAAUAAAUAAAUAAAGACACCGAUCACAACUACAUGGGAUAGAUUUUGUUGAAUUGUUUGCAGGCUUUGCGGUAAUGACAUGCAUGCAUCCAUCCAUCCGAGGACUCACUACGGCGCUCGGCAUCAUCAUCAUUAUUGUAGGAGGUGGAGCCACUGCACCCCCAAAGAUACGCUGCGAGAAAAGUCAUCGUCAAAGGUACGGGGGCCCACUCGCUUUUGGGUGGGGAACCCACCAUGAAUGAAUGGUCCAAGACAGGCAUAGAUCUCUCGCAUCAUUCGUUAGACGCGCGUCAUGUCGGACCCACCACAAGUUGGACGCGUGCACGUGGGUAGUAGUACAAAAAUACGUUUCCUGAGAUGGGUUUAACAGUGUUGGCACAAAAAUACGCAUGCACUGACAGCAUGGGGGUAUAAGCAGUUUUGUAGAUGCGACAUGGCCGUCCAUCCUUUGUUCUUCCGUGUCACGCGUCCAUGCAUAUAUUAUCAUUUUUUGAUUCCUUUUGUCGCUUUUAGAAUAAUCAGUUUGACUAUAGAAAGACCUGUGUACCGAGAAAAUUUUGAUACCUUAUUUUUUUUAUUUAUAUAUAUAUAGUAUUUUUCAAGGUUUUUUAAUAAAUCUAAAGAUAUUAAGAAAAAUAAACUUUGAGUUCAAAGUGAUGUAGUUAAUAAGGAUGUUUUGAUAUGUGGAUAACCUUACGACACAUUAAUCGAAUGACUCCACAUUAGCGUCAACUCAACACCAUCUUACAUCACAGUCAGCCCAACACUUUACACAGAUUAUACAUGUAUACUAUUUUUUGGAUUUAUGUCUUAUGAUUUCACUGAUCACUCUCUUAUCACCGAGAUCUUCUUCUUCGCGAUACGAUCACAAGGGGUCAUGGCGUAUCGGGCUGCAAACAACCGCGUACAGGCAAGCAGGUGGCUCUGGUGAUGCAUUCAACUAAAUCGUGAUAGAAGCAAAAGCAACGUUUGAUGACAUGAACAUUUCUUGUUUUAGAAUAUUAAAGAUGCGACACAGUGGAGCAAGUUGAUCCUUAAAAAAACCAAGUCGUAGUAGCUCACGGAAUCUAAUUUACUUGUCCUGGAUUCAAACAAUCACAAUAUUUUAUCACGGUGGAGACAUGGAACGAAUAGAUAUAAAUGUCGUCUUUGUAGUCCGUGAACAAAGACGCCUUGGCUUCAUUGCUAAACCUAAUCUCCACAGCUCUCAUGAUAGGUGCAAGAAGUAGAAAUAGAAGAAGCUAAUAUUUUAAUGUUAUCUGUGAUUGUUAGUCUUAUCUAUUAUCUGAACUAUAUAUAUAUAUAUAUAUAUAUAUAUAUAGGACUGAUCAAGUAAUUAUAGUUCAGUUCAUUCAUCUGCUACGCAUGGAAGAUUUUUGUUCUUUGAUUGAUUCAAAUUCUGUAGCAAGCAAACGAUACAUUGCUGUAUCACUGAUUGACGAGAUUCCAACGGGAGGUCAAUACAACAACCAUUAAAGUUUCAUGAGUGGGUAUCCAAGAUAUUCCCUCCCUAUCCAACGUGAUGCUUUCUUUAUAGACAAGACGCACUCAUCUUAUGCGGUGGGUGUUGGAUUUCUUUACGUGUAGACGGUCUAUCCAUGUUGCAAUAAACAAAGCCGACCGAUUAGGUUCAUUUUGACGCUCUACCGAUCGUUGAUCUAACCGUACUCCCUUCAACAUUCGAUGAGUCCUGUCCGUAUCUUUCGAUCUGAAAGUUAGGAUUGUUUCUCUCUCCUACGAUUAGGUCCUUGUAGCCGCAUCUGCGAAAUAGAUGGAGAAUAACUCAGGUUAGAAGGUAUCAUCAUCCUAUCGUAAUGUGACUUUAGCAAACUGGGAAAGAGAGAGAGAGAGAGAGAGAUGAAGGGUUUCCAUAUUUGUUGGAGGAGGAGGCCCUUGGCAUUCUUCAAUGAGCUUCAAAGUUUUCUUGGUUCGAAGAAGGGGCGUUGUGAUACCAAGUUGGUGAUGUUGUCAUGAGGGAGGGAGUCAAGAUGGAGACGUGUGGUGCUGUACAUUCGUUCCUCAUUAUAUUAUGUACUAUUUGAUUCUUCAUAUGUUUGGUCCGGACUGCCAUUCCACCCGUAUGGAUGAUUGCUCAACCAAGUCAUCUUAAAAGGAGGAGGACGAGAGAGAGAAACUGACCUAACAGUGACCGAGUCAUCAAGAAAAGAGAGUUGUUGUUUACCAAUUGGUUUCCUAUUCAUCAUCUAUUUGGGUGUCUUGCAUCACCUUGUGAAAGAAGAGGUCCCGAGAUGUUCACCUCUUACCUACUAUCGAAAAGUCAUCAACCACUCCUACACCAUGAGAUGUCGAUAGAUGGUGAUCUUUGCUUGACUUACCAAAGGGGGAGACAAUGAAGAUCGAAAGAGGUCUAAGUAAAUGAUUGUCAAGUGAGAAGGUUCAUUUUUUUCCGACUCGUCCAUUGAAAAAUCAUUUCUAAGGUCAAUAAAUUUAUUUCUUUUUGUUGAAAAAGAGUAUUAAUUACCUGAGAGCCUGCGCUCUACUUUCUACUUUCUGUCGAGUAGCAGUGUGUCGGUCGUUAAAAUAAUCGAUUUAUAUUUCUCUGGUUGGAAACUAUCCCAUUUUGUACAGUGAAGAAUACAUGAGAAACAAGGUGACGAGUCUCCAUCCAUCCUUCUCGUUCGCAGUAACUUCGGAGCAAGUUCUAACUUGCACGAUACAAAUGUUCUCGCAGGUCCUUUUAGUGUGAUAAAAGCUUUCCGUGAUCGGCUGUUGUUGUGGGUUUUCGUGCAGCUUUGUUUAACGAGUGGUGUCGCAGAGACAUGUGGUUGGCCAAGCAUUUUCGUGUCGUCUUCGUCCUUUCACUUUAGCCAUGCAUGUGUGAUUUCGUGAUGUACCAAAUGAUUGGGUAUUCCAACGCGUUUGAUAAGCUGUUUCUGUGAAGGGUGAUAUCUUUUUUUUUUUUAAUUUACUUAAUUCUUUUUGUUUAUAUAGAUAAUCUGAAGGAUAAUAAUAUAUUAUUGGGUACUCUACCUCUAAGCUCUUCUUCUAUUACUCAAAAACCAUCUCUCUCUCUCUCUCUCCUGAUGACUUUUCCCUUGCCUCUCAUGUCUCUAUCAUCCUCUUGUCUCAUUACUAUCACCUGAAGUGUCCUUUUCAGCACCGAUCCAGCCAGCCAUGUUCUACAUGUUGUGCUCCCGUUGGAUCUCCAAUACCCCUAUAUUUAACCCUUCCAUGGAAAUUUUUGCCAAUGAGAAAAAUCCAAAAUUAAGACGAAGUCAUUAAUAGCCCCGAUUAAUUAUAUGAAUAGGACACAACCAUGAUUGGCUCGUAGCUCAUGCUCGUCCAUUGUUCGUUGAUUUAAUAUACAUGUAUAUUAAUUCUUACCGUGACCAAUUCCAAAUGUAAUGUUAUGAUCAUGGGUUGGAGACGCAUUAAAGAAGCCGUCCUUUACCACCGCCAGAUACUUCGUUGAGCCCCAUCGACGAUCCACCGUCCAUUUCCUCAGCUGGGACGAUCACGUACGCGCUGAUCGUCGACCCGUACACGACAAUGUAUACGGACUCUCGAUUGGAUUGGUCGCACGUCAGAUUUCGCCAGCUGGCCGUUUGAUCUUGCGACACGUCUCGAUGGCCGCAAUCCCGGUCCCUCUCAUCCGAGGACUGAACGUUUGCCGCGCCAUAUGACGACAGUACCCCAUAUCGAUCCGUUGGAUUCCCCUUGUCGGACGGGCGUUCUCGUCAUUGGAGCGGGAAAGGCACUCCCAACCCGCUCGAUGAAUCAAGUUGGCUGGUCGGCCAUUUCUCACUCCCCCCGAUGACCAUGUCUCAGAAGGACAAGUAGCAGAAGAGGAGGACGAAUAGUAAGGCGAGCUUAGAGCACUGAUGGCGAGGUCGAAGACGAAGCAGCUCUCGUACAUCGCAGUGCCGUCGCAGUUCAUUCACUCUCUCCACGGCCUCCACCUCUCCCCCAAGAAGGCCGUGCGGUUCCCCGGCCACCGCCUUCCGUCCCUUGCACGAAACCCGAAGUUCCUCCUACUCCUGCUCUUCUUCCUUCUCGCCCUGCUCCGCACCCUCAGGAUCGGGUCCGAGCUCCACCGCCUCCUCCCCUUUCCCUCCGUCCCCUGCUCGCACUCUUCGUCGACCGAAUCGGCGUGGGCUGCCGACAAAGCGGCGGUGGUGUCGGUGGGAGUUGAUGGUGGCGAUGUGGGUGAGGUGGUGGGGGAGUUUUGGAGGCAGCCGGAUGGAAUGGGAUACUCGCCGUGCCUUAACUUCAGCGAGGAGUUCCGGAUGGAGAGCGAGGCGGCUCGACGAGUCAGGCGGCGGAAGUACUUGCUGGUGGUGGUCUCCGGUGGGCUCAACCAGCAGCGGAACCAGAUCGUCGAUGCGGUGGUGAUCGCUCGCAUCCUCGGGGCGGCGCUCGUCGUCCCUGUUCUCCAGGUCAAUGUCAUCUGGGGCGACGAAAGGUGCCAUUUUACGAGUCCAUCUUGUUACUUUCGAGAGAAUCUAGGAUCAAAAUCCUAUCUUUGCUACUGUCUUCUUCCUUAUCUGCCAUUUUAGUUCCAACAUUAGAAAGUUUUGAACCCUUUUACCAUCUAUUGUCCUCAAAAGGAAGCUCACACCCGAGUUUUUAUGGAAUCUGGAGAUAACUAUACUCUAUAUUAAGCAUUUCUGGGUGCAAAGAAUUUCUAUUUCUGAUCUAUUAUCCGUCGAUCUGUUUAUCCUCAUCUCUUCAUUUGGUUUCAUGUGGCAUCUAAUUGUUUCUGCAUCAAUUUUUCGAUUGGGCAGCGAGUUCUCUGAUAUAUUUGAUCUGGAGCAUUUCAAGAGAGUUCUCGCCGACGAUGUUAAGGUGGUGUCGUCGCUGCCGUCGACCCAUAUCAGAACGAGGCCAGUGGACGGGAAGCAGACCCCUCUCAAUGUCCCCCCAAGCUGGAUCCGGAAUCGGUACCUGAAGAAAGUAUGUGCUUCUUUUCUCCAGUCUCAUCAGUCGAUGAUGACUGAACUGUUGCUUCCUUCAUAAAAGAAAGAUGACCGAAGCGUCCUGAUGGUUUUCUCCUCCAACCAUUUGGUGGUGAAUGGGAGAUUAGAGCUGAGUUUGAUGACAUGCUGUCUACUUGUUCUUGUGAUUGCAGCUCAACAGAGAAGGGGUUUUGCUUCUCAGAGGAUUGGAUUCCCGGUUGUCCAAAGACCUCCCACGUGACCUACAAAAGCUCCGAUGCAAAGUAAUCAGAACAUCCAACCUUGUCUCUCUGAUGUUCUUGUUUCAUCGCUAUUGUCCUUCUGAAUCCACAUGUUCGGCAACAGGUCGCCUUCCAUGCCCUGAGGUUUGCUGCACCCAUCCAGGAGUUGGGCAACAAGCUCGCCAUGAGGAUGCGGAGCAAGGGGCCUUACGUCGCUCUGCACCUUCGACUGGAGAAAGAUGUGUGGGUGCGAACAGGGUGCCUUCCUGGGCUGAGCUCCGAGUACGACGAGAUCGUCCAAGAAGAGAGGAAGCUCCGCCCGAAGCUCCUCACCGGUAGGUCCAACAUGACCUACCACGAGCGCAAACUCGCCGGAUUCUGCCCACUGAAUGCUCUCGACGUCACCAGGUAGAGGAAUCAGGAAGCAAGUAUGCAUACAUCUUGUGGGGAACUGAUGCCUACCUGCUCUGUUUCAGGCUGCUGAAAGCACUAGGAGCUCCCCCGGAUGCGAUGAUAUACUGGGCAGGCGGCGAGCCGUUCGGAGGACCGGAGGCGCUGCUGCCUUUGACGAGAGAGUUCCCGCAUCUGUACAACAAGGACAAUCUGUCGCUGCCCGGCGAACUCGAACCGUUCGCGAAGAAGGCCUCCCUCCUAGCAGCUAUCGACUACAUCGUCUGCGAACAGAGUGAUGUGUUCAUGCCCUCCCAUGGGGGAAACAUGGGACACCUGAUGCAGGGCCACCGGGCAUUCGCCGGGCACAGAAAGUUCAUCACCCCCAACAAGCGUCAGAUGCUCCCAUAUUUCCUUGACGCCUCUCUUCCCGAGCUCGAAUUCCAUCGGAUCAUCAAGGAACUCCACCGAGGAUCGCUCGGCCAGCCCGAGUGGAGGAGCGACAAGGUCGACAAGGACGUCACUGCUUUCCCAGUUCCCGAGUGCAUGUGCAAUGGAACAAGCAGGAGUUCGGCGCUGUGAGCUUCUUCCUCUGCGAAGAGAGACCGCAAUGUGGAGAGCAAAAGCAUUUUAAUGCAGAGAGUGAUGCCAUUGAUGGAAGUAUCUUCUGCUGCUUCUUUUCUGUAGGCUUAAUUUUAGAGGUCACAGAGUGGAUCAUUUACAUGCUAAGGAUGAGAUUGAUUUGAUUCUUUGUAGUGCUUGUGUACUCUGGUGCGUAGUAUCGAUUUGCUUUGUUCUCUACUGCAAGCGAGCCCAGUGGUGGUUGGCAAGCUCACUUAUGUAUCACUGCAGCUCUUGCCAGUCUUCGGAUCUAUAUAUGAUUUAGAUCACAUCGCUUAAUAGUCUCAAGGAAUGCUUGUGCCAUUUGAACACUGAUAAAUCAUAUACAUUAGAAAACCUUAGUCUUCGUUAAAUCACAUGCAUAUCCCUAAGCUUUUCAUAGAUCUAUAAAAUAUAAUCAUUAUCCGUCUUUUAUAAGUGUUGUUUCUAAUCAGACGGUCACGAGCAUUUGGAUGACGAACACGGGCCAUGGACGUACCAGCAGCCGUCUGAUCCAGAGGCGAGAGAUGGAGGGUGUUCUAGUAAUUUUGUGGGUCUUACACUCCACCGUGUAGAACUCCGCCUGGGGUUUGGGGCAGCUCCUCCUCCGUCGAGUAAUUUUACGCCCAAGACGUCGAGGUACAUCUUUUUCCCCAAAUUGAUUCCGCCUGUUGUCAUGGUUUUCCUUUUAGUUACUCUGAUCCAGCAAUUUCCUUUUCUAUUUUUCCCCAUUUUGGUUCUUAAUCUGUUCCCUCGCUUUAAUUUUGGUCCGGUUUUCCUUGAUCUUUGAGUUCUAUUGCAAAUUUUAGAUUAAAACUACGUUUUUAGUCGAUCUUGAAUUUCUAGGGUUUCAUUUCAUCCUAAUCCAUCUGUAUCGACUGGAAGAGAGGAUGGAUCCGUCGGAGAUGAGAUAUCUGGAGGUCGAGGAUUCUCCAGUUAUGAAGACAAUUAAGGGCGCUAAUUAAAUAUGAUCAUAAAAAUAAAAAUGAUACAUCAAAUUGGAAUCAUAUAAAGUACCAAAUUACAUCUCUUGUAAUUACACCUACCUAACAGUUCUUGUAAGCUUUUACUUAUAUAUAAUGUGUGUGUAUUUACUGGAAGAGGUAAGGGACAUAGGCCAUAGAAAUGCUAUCAUGGUAGCUCUUUUAUAAAGAUGAAUAAACAUGGAAACUAUACUGGAUCUGGUUGUCUUUUUAUACCAGCCAAGUAAGCUACAUGGCUGUUCAAAUGCUCCCUUUUCUUCAAAUCAUUUAAGUGAUUGAGGUUAAAAUUCGUAGUUUAAGUUUUAAAAAGACAAAUAAAAGACAUGGUAGCUCCCUUUUAUUUUCUUCUUUUCUUUAUUUUUGGAAUAAAACCUUGACAUUUUGAUGUAACUCCAUUUGUCACUGCACUUCUAAUGCUUUACUUGUGUGAGUAAUGUAAAGGUAGGCUAUAAAAUAAGAAAGAAAGGAGGAGAGGUAACCAACGAAAGGAGAGGAAGGUGGAAACCGAUGACGGAUAAAUCAUACGAAGGUAGCGGACGAGUAGUGGCUUUGCUUUGUUGGUUUCUUUCACUGGGUCACAGUUCAAUUAAACCAACUUACUCGCCUAGGCUCGAACCCAGGCUGACCAUCAUCAAUUUGGCUCAGGCGCACACCCGAAUGGCCUAGCACCUAUACUCAAGUGCUCACCCAAGUAGCGUUUCAUUGAAACGCCUCGCCUCGAGGUGUUACGAGGCGCUCGGAUCUCGUCUUGUCUUGCCCAAGCACCUUUUAAAAACAUUGCUUUGCAGUUGCCAUUCCAUUUGUUGACAAACUUCUUUUCGUGACAUUCACACAAUGCCUUAGGUUGCCAUCACAGUUGCAGGUGGUUUCAAGCUCAUCCAAGUAGAUUUAAUGAGUCUACAAAACUAAAAACUCAUGGAGAGAUAAGUAAGAAGCUUUACUUUUCCUAUUUAAUAUUUAAUAAUAUAAUAUUAUAAUAGGUGCUAUAUAAUACAUAGUAUAUUUUAUUUCAAAUUUUAUAAUCAUACGAUAUAUAGUAUAUAAAUAAGACUUUGCUCCAGGUUUACUAAUAUAUAAUUAUAGUUUUUAUUGUGGAUAGUUUCUUUUUCAUUGUAUAUGCCUCCCUUGUUUAAAACUACAAAGCAGUGCCAAUACUUGGGAUCCCUUGAUUAUCAACUCCUAUAUUUUAUUCUAGUUUUAGCAAUAUAUUAAGGCAUACCCGCUCAUUCAAUCAAGAAUACCAACUAAGGUCAAAUGUGUGAUGAACUUAACAUUCGAUGUACACACCAAUUGGUUUUGGAAGGUCAUUUAUCAUUCCAAGGCAUAUCGUUGGCAUUCCAUUUUUACUCCAUAUGUGUCUUAGGAAAUCAACCAUAAAAUCUAUUUAUUGAUUAAGAUAAUUAAUGAAAAAUAUAGGGAGAAAAAGAAAGAUUUGCAUAUGGUCUUUAUUGACUUAGAGAAAACUUAUGAUAGAGUUCUUAAGGACAUAUAUAAAAAGUUUGUGUUGUUGAGAUAAGAAUGUUGAGAUGGAUCUGUAGAGUUACUAGGAAAGAUAGAAAUACAAAUUUUAUUCAUAAAUAAUUAGGUAUCGCUUUGAUACAGGAUAAGAUAAAAGAGAAAUUGUUUAAGAUGGUAUAAAUAUGUGCUUAGGAGACUUACAGAGGUGAUAGGUAGAAGAGUUGAAGUGAUUAAUCUUAAUUGUACAAGGAGAGAGAGAAAGACCUAAAAAGACUUUAAUAAAAACUAUAAAUAAAGAUUUAGAUAUUCUAAACUUAACUAUACAUAUGACCUUUUACAUAUCUUAAUGGUGGUAAAAUAUCCAUGUAGCCAAUCCAAAAUAGUUGAGACUUAUGACUUUGUUGUUGUUGUUGUUGUUGUUGUAUGUGUCUUGGAAAUCAUAAAUGAAGUUUCUUCACAUAGUAAUGCUGUAAGUACCAAACUUGUUUAUGAAAAUUCUUGAGAUUGAAUUUCUGGCUAAAGCUAGUCCAAAAUGUAGACAUAUAUGUGUUAACUACUUAACUAGUUUACGAAGUUUUCAUCAAUGUUAAUCACUAUUCUGUAAGUGGAAAGAUAUAAUUAUAUGCAAGUUUCUAUCUUCCACCUGAGUUAUGUUGCUUGGUUGAAACAAAGAUGCCAUGAUUUUGCUUUCUGUUGUGCUGACUUGCAAUUGUGGUUACUGAUACUAUUUCCCUUGUUCGGGCAGGAAUAAUAUUCUAGCGAAUUUAUAGUAUCUGUCUGUAAGGAUCUUCUAUGGAGUAAAUUCGUCAAUUCUGCAUAUCUCUAUGCUAUGACAUCAUGCUUUUCUUGUUGGGUCAUUCAGAUUACCUUAUUUUUCCUUAUGUUGAUCUAUGCCUCAUUCAAUGUACAGGUAGGAGCAUUCCAACAGCGAUCUCUGCAGGAUCAGCUCUUGCAUUCACUUCUGCUAUGUUGGAUAUUGGAGGCCGGACAGCAAGAGUUGACAAUGGAAAGGAGUGCUUCCCCUACACUACCGAGAAGAGGUCUACUGCUGAUUGAUUUCUUGUAUGAGGUACUCGGCAUCUUGUAACCACGUCCUCCGUGAUAGGGGGCGGCCCUUGGUGUUUUAGCAGGGAUAGUCCUUGUUCUUCAGUUGUGCUUUUGUUGUUGAUCAUAGUGGUAAUACGUGUUUUGCAGACAAUUAUCAUUUGCAGACAUGACCAAAUGUUGCAAGUGGUAAUUGCAAGUAUUUUUGAAUGAAUUCUUGUGCGUAUAGUGUUAGUAUCGGAAAUGGUUAAUAACUCAAUGUGACGAAGAUGACUUGAUCGGAUUCAUUUUUCAGAUGUUGUCGUCUUAAUGAAUAUAUUGUUUGGUGUUUUAGCAGGGAUAGUCCUUGUUCUUCAGUUGUGCUUUUGUUGUUGAUCAUAGUGGUAAUACGUGUUUUACAGACAAUUAUCAUUUGCAGACAUGACCAAAUGUUGCAAGUGGUAAUUGCAAGUAUUUUUGAAUGAAUUCUUGUGCGUACAGUGUUAGUAUCGGAAAUGGUUAAUAACUCAAUGUGAUGAAGAUGACUUGAUCGGAUUCAUUUUUCAGAUGUUGUCAUCUUAAGGAAUAUAUUGUUUGGCUUCUCUUCCACCUUGAUAGUUGAUCUAUUAAAAUAUAAUUAUGUAUAUUUGAUUAAUGUUAGAUCUCAAGCUAUUGACAUUUUUAAGUAUGCAUAAAUAAAAUCAAAAGAUAAUUAUAUAUAAAAGUUAAAGUUAUUAAUUUAAAAUAGGACACAAGAGGAAGACAACAUAAGGAGAGAAUGUAUGAAAGAAAUGGGUUAUCCAAUACAGAAAUGACUUACAAUAAGUUAAAUAUCAUCUAAGCUAAUUUUUCUGAUGGUGGUUGCAGAAGAGUCUAGAUUGAUCAUCUACAAUGCUUAAUUAAUGAUUAAUGAUAUCAUGUGAAAGAAGUAAACCUUGAAAAUUAGGGUUUAAUUCUUUUAUAAUUUUUUUAAUUAUUAUCAGAAUUUUUAAUUAUUAAUUAAUGAUAGGAUAGGAUGCACGUACGCCGCCACGUGCUCUCAUGUUGAGCAGAUCGAUAGUUUCGCUAUCCGAUGAUUCGUAUUCCUCACGAGUUUUGCAGGUUGCUUUCAUCAAAUAUCAGCCGUCCGUUCCAACUUUAAGAAGGGCCGGCCAAUUGGUGAUGCCCCAUGCGCCCCAAUCUCUCCGAUCCUAACUGUGCAAGGCAGGGUUUCUAAGUGGGGGAAGGAAGGAAGGGAUGCCUCUCAAAACCUUUGACGCCGAUCUCUCCAACUUCGACCAGGUUUUCGGGGGAUUCACCAAGUCGGAGACGACGGAGGGCUCCCCAUCGGAACCAGGUCAACUCAAGUUUCUUCUGUUCUUGGCCGACAAGGAUCCCUCUACCAAUCGCAGCUGGUGCCCUGGUACAUUGUUCCGCUUGCCCUUUCCUCUCCUCCUCUCUUAGAUCAGAUCUGUUGCACUUUCUUCUUUCUCCUCUCUCUUUCUGCUUGAGAACGACCCACUACGACGUAAAACCCUUCGAGUUUUUGUCUUUGAUAUCUAUUAGUUCUUCUUACUCUGUUGUUCGAUCCAGUAUUUGGAUGAAGGCUGUGCAUAGUGAUCUCAGAUUGAUGGCCUACUUGCCAACUCGGAGAGAAAAUAUUCGUUACGUAAGAACAUGUUCCAUGUAAUCCCACAGUGAAAAAUAGUUCCCAAGUAUUUGAAUCUAUAGGAGCAUGUUCCGAUCCUACAUCCUAUAUUCGUUACGUAAGAACAAACAAGAAACAAUAAACGUCAAAGCAAAUUCCUGGUUCAUCCAAGCACUUCAUGUUAAGCUCUUAGAUGGCUUUUUUCAUUAAUCUUUGUUUUGAUUUUUAAUUUGACGCCUUUCCAUCAAUGGAAUCAGUUCCAUUGUUCUCUCUCGAUUCCUUGUAGCCGUAAUUAAAGUGGGUUCAUUGAGUUUAUGGACACCCUUGUUUAUAGUGACUCAAGAUUCUUUUUUUAAGGUUAUCAUUUGGAUAUAUUUCUACUGGUUGAUCUUUGCCUGUUGUUUGUUAUUGUUAUUUUGAUUAAUGUGGACUCUGUCUAUGACUGAUUAAAGGGUCAUUGCCGAAGAUAUGCUAGUUAAAGAAAGGCUCCGCUAGUGUUGUUUUAGCAGUUCAUAUGUGUAGAUUAUGAUAGGUGAAGUUACUAUCAUUGCCUUCUUCAUUGAAACAUACUAAAGGUUGUUUCAGUACUAAAUAGCUCAGAAAUUCUGGUUUGUUUCCCAUUUCUCUUCUUUUAACAAAGUAAUAUAUGCAUUUCAUGUAUUCUUUCUUUUUUCACUUGUAAAAUUAUUUUUAUCUAUCAUCUAACUUUCAGGACUUAGUCAUGAUACUCUUGGACAUAAAUAUAACAGAGCAUGCUUGCAUGCCACUCCUCUACUUGCAAUUCCAUAUAGUCUUGGAAAACUCAGUGAAUCUGAAGCAGUGUCAGCAACCAUGGUCCAGUUCUUGCCAACUUCAGUCCGACUGCCCAUUUUUUAUAUUUGCAUUGAUCCUGAUCGCCACGGUCCCAAUCUAUGUGACCUGAUAUUGAUAAUUUAUUUUUUCCCAAUAUGAAAUUUUCAAUCUGUACUUAUAGGUAAUCUCAGAGUUUAAAAUGUCGGAUAGGACAUCUGAAAUUGAGCAACCUAUAUUGAGUUUUUCUUGCUUCUAACUUGCUUUAGCUAGAAAUCAGCACAGUCUAGCAAAAAUUGGGAUGAAAAAAAUAAAAAAAAUGAUUCUUUUUCUCAUGAAUCAUUAGACCUGAGUGCUCACUGCAAGAAUUUGCUAUCAUAUUGGACAAGAUGUGUUAGUUCCUUUUAACUAUCUCAUGAGACUUAAGGAAAUAUAUUCCAAAAUUUCUUAUGUUUAGACCUGUAAAGCAAAUAAAUGGUUAAGAGAAACACUGAUUCUAUGUAAGUCAACAUCCUGUAAAUUUUGUGUGUUGCAAUAUGUGUGUGUGUGCAUGUGCGCUUACGUGUGUGUCCUUGUGUGCACGUGUGCAUAUGCAUCCAUGCGUUUGUGACAUUUGUGUUAACGAGUAAUCUUGAUGUAGCCUUUGUAGGUUUACAUCUUUAUCCCUGUUUAUGUUUGGAUUUUCUUGCAUUUGCAUAUUUAGAGAUAUGAUUGGGUGGCUUUUUUUCAACUUUUCCGAGAAUGCAUUCUUCCUAGAGUGAGGUGUAUGCUUGAAUCCUUUGAAUUUUAGGAUGAGGAGCUAGAGGCUGUGUUUAAUCUUAUCUACACUAGGCAAGUAUUUGAUAUAUCUUCUCAAUGCUAUGGAUGUAAGCGAUCAUAAGAAACUAAUGUUUUUUUGUUUUGUGCUUAUUUUGUAGCAUUGAAAGCUAUUUAGAUAAUUGAUGCAUGAUCAGAUACGAUUUGCAAACAAGAUUCCAGGCAAAAUCCAUAAUAUCUUUUGUCUCUUGUAGCUUUAGGAAAAUCCUAGGGACAAGCACAAAAGGAGUUGAUCCAAUCGGUCUUGUUUAAUGCAUAAAAUAAGUCAGUAGCCCCUUUCUUUAUGCAAUGUAGCAUAUACUAUGGCAUGCUUUGGCAGAGCACUAAGAAAGCUCUGCCUAUGUGUUGGAAGAUAGACAUUGGGAAGAAAGAAUAAAGGAGAGUGGAGGCCCUCUGCCCGAGGGUAGAGUAUCAAUAAUUUCAACUUUGAAAGCAUCACUUUUGAUCGCAAUCAUUUUGAUUCAGAAUUUGAGUUCUGUAUGGGGCCUAAGAAUGUCAUUAUUGUCCUCACAUUUAAAAUUUUGAAAUUGUUUGGGAUGUUUUUGCCAAACUAUCCCUAUGGUCUUUGAGUUCCUCAUCUCAUUAGAAGACACUCCUCUCUCGUACCUUAUCAUACCUCUCUGACUCACUAUAUGUUGCGUUUAAUGUAGUAGGUGCCUUUAUGAACCUCAUCUUUGUGCCAUCAGCACAAUGAAUGGGGGACUGAAGUUAGUUGUUUCUUCUCUUGUACUUGAGGUGAAACAUUAUUGCUUCUUCAUGGUCAACUAUAUCUCUUAGACCAUGUAUAAUGAUUUAGGAAAAAAAGCAGAGUGUGACAGGCUUAUCUCUAGGUGGCUUUUUAGUUCUGUGAAGGUUGAUAAUUGUAUGACGUCUUAUUGUUCAGGGCUUGAAAUAGUAUUAACUUUUAUUAUUAUUAUUAUUAUUAUGCCCGUCAGAUUCGGCAAGGUUUUUAUUUACUAAGCGAUUUAAAUGCUAUUCUAUUUGUAGAUUGCAAUGUAGCAGAGCCCAUCAUAUAUGAAAAGCUGGAAGCAUCAAAUAGCAAUCUUGUACUUUUGAGAGCAUAUGUUGGAGAUAGACCUACGUGGAGAAAUCCUAGCCAUCCAUGGAGGGUAGACCCUAGGUUCAAGCUCAAGGGUGUGCCCACGCUUAUUCGUUGGGAGAAUGAAGAUGUUGCUGGACGCCUUGAGGACUACGAAGCCCAUAUCGGAGAUAAGAUCGAUUCCAUUCUGGCUAGCAAUUGAUCUCUCUCUCUCUCUCACUACUUAGUCGAGAAAAUAAUGUUUAACCUCCUGGUUAUGAUGCACACAUCAGAGUCAUGUCACCGUUGAAUCAUUUGGUGGUCUGGAGAAAGUAAGCUGCUCCAAAACUUUUCAUCUAUGUGCCGUCUUGCAGAGAGCCUCUGUUCGUCUCUCUUUUCUCUGUGUUCCACUGGACCAAAUGCUCAUAUAUACAUAUAUGUUCUUACAGUGCGUUCCACACGUUACUUCCUGUGGCGGCCCACGUUAUAUCUCUACUUCAUCAACAUCAAUAGGUUGGCGAACAUAAGUCUCUCUUUCUCGGUCAUCCGGUUGGCAGGAUAAAGGCCCUAUUCAUAUAUAGGAAAAGGAUUUCUCUUCACAUCCUUCUCAUGAAGAAAAUACUAUCCAUGAACCUUUCGCUAUCCUGGCAUGAACUUUUUCCGACACAGUCACAGUCUCCAACUAUAUCUCCCUUCUAAUCUAUUAUUCAUUAUGCAACAUAAUCGGUGCUUCAUGUAUCCAUGCUCCACGCCAUCGUAAUACCAGCCAUGAAUCUGGUCACCUGUUAAAUUGCUUCCGUCGGCAAGGUAAAUUUAGGCUGGCCGGCUGUCUGUUUACUUAUCUUCGAAGACUACAGUAUGUAACACAAAAAGUCUAAUUAGACCUUUUAUUUUCACUGCUGCCGCUACGCCCGUAAUAUGUACAGAAGAAGCAGAAUUCAAGCCGGCGGUCAUCGCCUUUUCGCAUGAACUCGUUGGUCCCAAUUCCCGUCGGUUCUCGCGUCGGAGAUUGCUUCACGGUUCCGCCGCUCCGAUUAGGACUCGUGUUUCCUCGAGAAUCACAGAGCACGUGAUCGCACAUGCGGGUUUUUGUCUGUUCUGUUGGGCACUCUAUUUACGCACCACUCAACCAUUCACCCCUCACCUGUACCUGACUUGCGGUUCGACAGAGUCGCUGGGCCCUUCCUCCGGUUGACACAUAAAUGCGUCGCCGCAUCUUUUUUACACGUACAAGGAACCUACUUCGGCGGACAGACACAUACUCCGCAGAGGCAUGUGACGCGGGUCCCACCGACCUGAAGUCGGGCUUCAGUUAACCACCUGGAUUUAAGCGAGUCAAGUUUGUCUCGUGUUGCCCCCAUCAGAUUCAUCCAACCUUCCAUAAUGUUGAUGAUGACAACGUGGUGGUCUAAAUCUUCCCAUUGCAUGAUUUGAUGGUGCAGCGAGAUAUCGAUGGCUUGAAGCAUGAGACUCUCCUCCAAAGGAUCCCAUUACUUCCUCGGUGACUCUGAGAGGCUGUAAAGAAAAAAAAGGACUGACGUCACGACACAUGCAACAAACAUUAUUUCAACCCAUAACUCCUGUCAGACUUGGGUGUUUCACGAGGUUUGCUGCCUCAGUCAUGAGGUCGUAACAAAUAGGACACACAACUACACUCUGUGGAACGUUGGAUUAAGAUCAGAGGGCUGCAUCACAACCACGAUCACCAACAUUUAUUCCGUUAGGUCCUGCCAGCUCCCGGUUACCACCCGAGUCUUCGUUUGCCUUUUUUGGUGAGAAAUAAAGUGCGAAAGCCAUUGACCCUUUCCUUUCGUGGACAAGCAACAAAUUUUUUCCUACCUUCUUUCUACCAAGGGCGGACCCGCGUCGAGGCAUUUUCUAUGCGAACUACAAGGCGGGUAGCUUCGGGGUAAAAUUUAACGCGUUCUUCAAAGUUUUUUUCUUCUUGUCCUAUCUUUAGAGCAACAGUCCGCUGGAUUCGUCUGCCGCGUCGGAUAACGACAAGCUAAUAUGAAACGAAGCACGUGCCUCCGGUUCCCGCCUGCUCCCUUCCCGUACUUCCUCAUAUACUCCUCUUUAUCUCAUUUAAUUUCACCGAAAUCAUGUUAAUUUCUAUCGUAAUAUGACUGUCUUGAUGAGGACACAAUCGUCCGAAUGGGCGUAUAAACCCGGUCACAAGGUAGAAGUUAGCAGAGACUCAUCGCUUCGGCUAAGAGUUAGUAUGGCUCCUCCAUGUUUCCUUUCUACCGUGGCCGUCGUCCUCGUCCUGGCCGUCGCGGCCACGUCGACCGACGGCGCUUUCGGGUGCUCGGCUUCGGAUCGGGCGGCUCUCCUGGCUUUUAAGUCGGCGCUUUCGGAGCCGUACCUGGGUAUCUUCUCGUCGUGGACGGGCGACGCGUGCUGCUCCCGGUGGUACGGCGUGAGCUGCGACCCCACGACCGGGCGCGUAGCUGACAUCUCCCUGCGCGGAGAGUCGGAGGACCCCAUCCUCGCCGGCUCAGGCCGCUCCGGUGGCCUCAUGUCCGGCCGCAUCUCGCCGGAGGUCUGCCGCCUGGACCGUCUGGCCACCCUCAUCCUUGCCGACUGGAAGCACAUUUCCGGGCCCAUUCCUCCGUGCCUCACCUCCCUUCCCUUCCUCCGCAUCCUCGACCUCGUCGGCAACCGGCUCACCGGCACAAUCCCCGCUGACAUCGGCCGCCUCUCCCGCCUCGCAGUACUCAACGUCGCCGACAACCAGAUCUCCGGCCACAUCCCCGCCUCCCUCCCCGCCCUAUCCUCACUCAUGCACCUCGACCUCAGCAACAACCAGAUCUCCGGCCCCAUCCCGCACGACUUUGGCAACCUGCGCAUGCUCAGCCGCGCCCUCCUCGGCCGCAACCGCAUCUCCGGAACCAUCCCCGCUUCCGUGGGCUACAUGACCCGGCUCGCCGACCUCGACCUCGCUGAGAACCGCAUCUCCGGGGAGAUCCCAGCGACCCUGGGGUCCAUGCCGGUGCUGUCCUCGCUCUACCUCGACUCGAACCGGCUCACCGGGCAGAUCCCAGCGGCGCUGCUCAGAAGCCGGGGGCUCGGCAUCCUGAACCUGAGCCGAAACGGCAUCGAGGGGGAGAUCCCGGACGUGUUCGGCUCCCGGUCGUACUACACGGCGCUGGACCUGUCGCACAACCGGCUAAGGGGCAGCGUGCCGAAGACGCUGGUGACGGCGGCGUACGUGGGGCACUUGGAUCUCAGCCACAACCACCUCUGCGGCCCCAUCCCGGCCGGCUCCCCCUUCGACCACCUCGAGGCCGCCUCCUUCACCAACAACGACUGCCUCUGCGGGGGGCCGCUGCCGGUUUGCAAGUGAGCCGAGCAUUGAAAUCCAAUCCCGGUGAGGGCGUACCAACUCGUGUGUUUGCGUAUGUGUGCGUGUGACGACUAGUGAGAGAUGAAUUCUUUAAAGUGUUACUAUUACACCAAGUUCAAGCACGUUAAACUUGAACACCGGUUUAUAAACGUGUAGAACCGAGAAGACUGGACAACUUCUAUGGUUCACUGUGGGUAAUGUUAUGGCCCUUACGAGUGCAAAAGCCGUAUUAUGGGCUUCUUACAUUACAUACUACUACUGCUACUUACGAGUAUAUUUAACUAUAUGGUGGAGUUUGAUAGCUGCAUGAGAUGAUGCCAUUUAUUAUGUCGUUCAGUUUCUCUAAAUUGGACAUGGACAUGAGAUCAUGAGAGAUUUGAUACGUCUGCACGUAUUACCAUUUUACGAUCAAUCUGACAUGAAAAUUAAUGGAAAUAAUAGAAGAUAAGGUUUUAUUGAAGAUGUGAAGAAUUUUCCUAUUUAUACAGCUUAAGAGAAGGAUUUUCCUCAGCAGAAUACAGAAAUCUUAUCUUCUAUCAUAUUGAUGUGCUCGUGAUAAGGAUAUUAAUCUUGGAUCGACAUGCUUAAUGAGUAUGAAUAGGACAAGAGCAUGUUAAUGUUGCUUCAUCUCCUAUUUAUACAGGAGGAAGGACUUUCCUUAACAUAAUAGAGAUUGUCCUCGAUCUAAUUUCAUAGGUUAUCCGAUCGAAUCCGUUCAUCUUCUAUCAUCUAUCUACCUUGCAAUUGAAUGAAUCUACACUGAAUUUGAUUCAUCGGAUGAUAAAAAAUAAUAUUAACACAUGCAAUUCUCAGUUCGAUUCCAUAUUUGAAUUAGAUAUGAUAUCAGCAAACAUUAUUAUUAUUAUUAUUAGACAUGUUUACUACACUCAUUAGUGUUUCCGUAGCAUGUACUCAUCUUAUUAUAGACGUCACGUAAUAUCCUGUACGUCUAACAAAGCAACUUCCGGAACUUGGGAGAGAUUGGCAAUCAUGACAUCUUCAUCGAGUUGAUGAGACAGCGCCAGAGCAUACGUCGAUGACAAGGACAGACGUCUCAAGAGAAGGCUGGUAACGAUAAGAAUCACGCAGGACAGAGAACAAAGAAAAGGACCGCGACAAGUACCCAUAAUUGCGUCAUGUCACGACUUCACUCCGUCACACCUCCGACUGCAUUGUAAGGGAGUCGGCCGUCUCCCUAGUUCCAACCGUGUCGCGGUUGAAGUCGUGUUGCAAGUCGUCACGACUUUUAAUUUUUAUCCCCGAACCCACGUUUCUAUCUGUUAAAUUUAAGGUUACUCGAUGAUUUUGGUUCAAGAAUUGGGUUUCGAUUUUGGAUCGGAAUUAUCAUUUUUUGAAUUAUUUUUUAGAUUUUUUUUGAAUUAAUCAUUCAUUAAACUAUUGAAAGGGAUAGAAUCAACUGUUUGAAAUCGAGUCGAUCAAACUAUUAAUCUAGUUCAGUUCCAAUAGAACCGUAGUGUCUUUACGGAUGAUUAGGUGUCAAGAUACGCGGUGGGCAGUCGUCCCCAUCAUGGAAAAGGCCUGAUAGCUUUCGAACGUGGACUCAAUAAUUGUCACGGAAAUGAAGAAGUUUUAGAUGAGAUAAGGCGACAUGAACAUGACUUCCGUUCCCUCUCUUUCUCUCUCUCUCUCUCUCUCAUCAACCCUUUCUAGACUUGAGCCACACGAGAUCGGAGGGUGCAGUGGUGCUCCUUGUGAGCCAUGUGGGAGGAACCGGAGAGUGUGCUGGGAGUGUCGGAGUCGGUGGCCAUGAAUAAUUGUCAUGCAAUAUGAACAAUUAUAGAGUCCACCAGUCACAGAAACAAAAAGAAAAGAGUCAUCCAAUCUCAUAUCUGUCUUCCGGAGCUGCACGGUAUUGUACUUAAUUUAUGGAUAUGGAUGGCAAUGCACAGGACUGCAUUUGCAGGUUUUCCUCUCGCAAUGCCCGUCGUCGGUCCGCCAGUUUGAGUUGGGCACUUAAAAGAACGCUCCUUGCGGGGCCUUCUCUUCUAAAAUGGAGCUUCCUGUAACACAAGUAAUAGCUUGCUGGCUUGCAGCAGCAGCAGCAGAAUAGGAGGGAGGGGUUCGUUGUCUCAAAAUCUGGCCUUAAUUCAGCACUUGCUGAAGGUGCCGUAAGGACGAGAGGCCUUGAACUAUAUCGAUUACAGAGAGUAUACGAGACUAGCUUUAACUAAACGUCCUCCGAAUCCUUGAAGGUGAGAGUUUCCGAUCCUAAAUCGGUUGGUUCUGUACGGUGUGAUCGAUACUUAUCAGUACAACUGGUCGCGACGACUUCUUCGCCCGGCACAAUUGUCGGUCGUCGGAUUUCCCGACUUAGAAGAUAAGAUUUCUCUUCAUGAAAAUCUCUAUUCUGUUGAGGGAAAUCCUCUUAUUUCUCUUCUCCUAAUCUGUAUAAAUAGGAGAGGGACAGCUUAAUGUAUUUAAGCUAAAGCUAUUUUAAUAAAGCUUCUUCAAUAAUUAUUCUUAUAUUCUAUUAUUUUUAUCAUGAUAUCAAAGCAGUGAGCUUCGCUCUUGCCUUCGGCCAGCAACCAAUGCCGUUGAGAAAAGCAAAGCUUCGCCUUUGCCUUCGGCUCUGCCAACAAUCAGCGAAGCUUUGCCUUCGGCUCUGCCAAUAAUCGGCAGACUUAAGGAGAAUGAAGGACGGAGUUAAGGGGAACGAAAGGAAUGCAUGUGCCCUCACAGCAACAGCAAUCGCAGCAGCAGCGAUCUGCUCUUACUCUACUCACGAAGCUUCUCGCUCGUAAAUAAUUGGUGCCAUCACCUUGAAUGUGCUGCCCGAUAAAGAAUACAUGCACAAUUUACAACAAUACAAAAUGCAACAAUCAUACGACAUGAUCCAGAUAUUUUCUUUAGGUUCGACCUAUUCAGCAAAGAAUUCAUUAAAGAAACAUCAAUUACAUACUAACACCACCAAAUCCUUCCGAUGAUGAUAAGCAUCAUCGAAGGUCAACAACUCCGGUUUUCAAGAGUACGUUCUAACACUCCAAAUAUUCACGAUAAUUCUAGAAAUUCAUUCGAUCAUUGAAGUCCUUGACAAUGUUCGAGUGACAUCAAGAUCCAUGCAGCUAAUUAUAUUGAUGCAAUCCAAUCUUCAUACCGUCGAAUGCCAAUCCUUUGCCACUUUCUGGCGGUUGAGAAAAAUGAAUUUGAUGCAAGUGUUUGAAACCAGAAGUGACGAAUUUGAUGGAAAUCAAAUGUAAUCGACACAAACAAUUCUGAGCUCCUUUCUUCUUAUGUUUAGAUGUUACGAUGACAAUCAUAUACUGAACAUGUGAUGUUACGAUGACAAUCACGUGGUGUUGAUUUUUUUCUUGUCCCUAUAAUUACUUCCAAUCUUCAUAUUUUUGAACUUAUUUGCUACCGAACUUUCAAAGCCUCACUGAUCAGUUUGGGAUACUAUCUUCAGAGAACAAUAUGUAAGUAUGUAUAUAUAAAAAGAAUGCCACCUUCUCACUUACCUUCAACUAUUUCCUGCACUAUAUAUACUCUGUUCCUGGCUACAAAAAAAGCCUUUGUUUCCUCGACUACAAAAAAAGCAGCGUAUUUUUUGCACAAUUAAAAAUGAUACUUCACUGAAAGGCAUUUGCAUGUUAAUAUCAUCAAAAAAGAAGAAUAAAUUGGGAAACCACUUUGUCAAAUUACUUGAGAGAGCUCAUAGGCUAUUAAAAUGAGUUUCUGUAGAGAUGGAAGUCUGCGUGGUACCAAAAAUGAGAGACUGUAUCUUUUACAGGAGCAGGACAUCCGCUACAACAGCAUCACAACGAGAAAAGAAUCAACUGAUCGCAAUGAAUACUGUACAACAUUAGUCUGUUUUGUACAACACCACAAUAAAUCUCUUAUGCAUUAAAAUGCGUGGAAACUUGACAGUUGCAUAGUUACAGCCGAUGCAUCAAACUUAAAACGUAUCUAAGAGAACCAAACUCUUAAUUACAUAAAAAUGAGAAACCUGAAGCUGGCUGAAGAUCAUCUCCUACCAGCAUUUCCAUGCCGUUGGUUCCGGAAAUAGCUUAAAAGAGCCUGAGCCUGAAAGAGAGGCAAAAAUAAAACAAAAGAGAAAUCAUGUAAAGAUCACAUCAUCUGUUAAAUAAUAAAAUUUGAAUCAUCAAUUCAAAGGGAUGUAAUAUUUAAAUCUCCUGUUCUAAAGAUUCGCCGUUGUUUAAGAACCAUGGCAAAUGUGUAGUCUGAUGACAGGUAAAGAAAUAGACUGGACAAAUACUAAUCUAACAUUAACAUAUAUGAUCAGACAAAAUUCUAGCACGGUUAAGUUGCAAUCUGGUAAUCUGUACCAUUUGUUUUAGUACAACAAUUUCUCCUAGAACAAUCUUGUUGCUGCAUGCUGAAACAUGUACAAUUGAAUUAUAGUAAGCAUACGAUAGAUCGUUUUCAGAAUAACACCAACCCUGUAUCACUUUAGUGGCCCACAGUUAAGAAAUAUAAGAACGAAUUGAAGCAACCUAUCAGAAUGCAAUUGGAAUAAGCUGCACACAACAUCCUGAUAUCAACCAAGAUUAGUUCAAAUUUGGAAUCUAUCAGAAACUUUUUAGCAAUUCUAUUGUGUUUGAUCAUGAUGAACUGAUCUUAGAGCCACACAUACAUGCAAGCCAUUUGGUUGUUUAGGAGACUGUCUGUACAUUCUUAACAAAGUUUUGCACAUCCUCUUUAUCAAAGUUGACCCAUCAUCUCCCCAUUAAAAACUCUUCAGGUAGGUCACUAUUGGAUAUGUCCUCGUCGUUUCAAUCAACUCACCACCACCUAUUCAAUCAGAUUUCACAUAAGCACCCAGAAUGUGCUUUUAUCUCUGUGCUCCUUUUAUCUUGUGUUACAAUGCGACAAUCAUACACAUUAUCAUCAACUCUAAGUGUCUAACGCUCUUGAUAACACACUAGAUCUAUAAUAAUAAACCUCAGCAGUAAGUCCCUUAACAUAUUUAAGACAUUAUCAAUUAUUUAUGUUUCCAAUAUUCAACAUGAAUUCCAUUGGAUCACACUGCUUUGACUACAAAUCAGCAUGCAGAUUGGUGAUUUUAUCCAAUUCAAGAUCAUACCAAGGAAUACCACUUGGUAAAUUUACCGUACCAGGCAUACUAUUUAUCAUUGGUGCACUAAGUUGUAUUAGAUGGUAAGCAUCCCAUUUAGUGCUGGCACUCUUCACAUCAAAAAACUCUUCUCGCAAGAUUCCUCUUUUACUCUUCUUUUUUCUUCACUAGCAGUUCGUUUCCUCUUCAUUUUUUCUUGACUUUUUCUCCAAAUUGCUUCAUUUUUGCAUCACCAUUGUUGAAUAAGUUGGAUUCAGAGUCUUUCUAUCUUGCCACGGGCCAAAUUUCAUGAGGUGAAGCUUGACUUUUCUACAAAUCAAGUAAAUUUGGGUCUAGUUCCCUGUUAAGUAUGCAUUGUUCAAUUGACAGGGAUCUCCGUGUACUUUGCCUAGUUCCACAAAAAACUGAGCUGGAUCAACAUGGUUUUGGCCUUCCCAAUAUUAGCAGAAUCCGCUCAAGAUCAGCAUAGAUUCUCAUGAGGCCAAGACUGAUGUAUAUUUACCCAAUACUGGCAUGAAUCUGCCAAAGAUCGACAUAGAUCCUUGUGGAUCCAAUGUAGAUAUAGGCUAGAAAGGCAUGAACCAGUCAAGUUCUGCAUACAUCCAGCAAAGAUCAGCAUAGAUCCGUUCAAGACCAACAUAGAUCCAACCUAUAUCCUACCUAGAUCCGUGAAGAUCUAAGCUAAUUCCACAGAGACUAACCAAGAUCCAUGUCAAUCCGACCAAGUUUCAUGUAUAUCCACGUUAGAUUUGCAUCCAUCCAUCCAACAUCCAUCUACAUCUGACCUAGAUCCUUGCAAAUCUAGUCAAAAUCCGCAUAAAUAUAAACAAAGGACUGCCUUAUUGCCCGAACUGGUAUGAAACUGGCCGUCCAUAUCGGUCUGGGUGUGAACUGGAACACAGACCGUCCCCUUUUCUGGUGGUCUGGUCCAACUCAAUAUUAAAAAGAACUAAAAGGCUAAAACAGCGAGUAGGUUGAGAUCCAUGAGGAUCUGACUUAAAUCCAAGAAAAUAUAAAAUAGAUGUGUGCUUUUUACUAAUCAAGUAUACAUUUCUUUUAACUGUGUACCAAAUUUUGUUUCUUAAUGUUAAUACGAAAAUGACACUAAAACAGUAUAAUACAGAUAUACCAUAGAACAUAACCAUUAUUAAUAGUGUAUCCAUUACGACUAUGUUGGUCAUGGUAGACGAAGAACAAGCUUGAGGUAGCAUUUGAUCAAUUAAUUUUCCGGCAUCACCAAAUGCACAAAGGUUUGCCAAAAUCAGACUCGCUUUCAUGACAGAGGUAGAUGCCAAGAAAACCUCAAGGCAAGAACAACAGGUCCAGAAGGAUCUUCAUAGAUGAGCAUCUAAAACAACCCAUCAACGAUGAGUACGAGGGUCGAGGGAGCAAAAAUGAAUCUGCUCAAGGAGUGCUAGUAAGAAGCAGUCAGCUUCUUACUCAGGAAGAACAAGGGCAUAGAUCCACAAGGACGCACCACAGGGUUCUCAGGAAGAAGUUCUAGUAAGAAGCAGUCAGCUUCAUCUCAAUCCCAAGUAAGGGAAUUAAAAUUUUCUCAAGCUCUUUUGGCAGAAGGCAUGCGCAUAAUAUUGCUAAUAUUGACCCUAUGCAUUUUUCUGUUAGAAUGGCUAAUAAAUCAAAUUUGACAUAUGUUAUAAGCAAGAGAACAAGAGGGAUAUAACACGAUAAUCACAAAGCAAGUAAAAUUAUACCUAAUCACUUCCUAAUGCAACUUGGACACAUGUUACAAAUUCAUAGCAUCCACUAUUCAGAAACAUGAUUUUGGAUAUAACCUACCAAACGAUGACACAAUAGGGAGGUAUCACGAUGACGAGGUCAAGGGAAAUCAUCACAUGGAUAAAGACCUUCAAGAAGCAGCGGACUUAUAUGGAAUUAACCCUUAUGUAUGGCAGCUGAUCCAGACUAAUCAGGUUCAGUAUCAAAUUUCCUAGUAUGUUAUAAUAGAUAUCUUUCACAAGUCUGUUGAUGCAUCAGAUCAGGAUUCAUUGGACACUGACUUUUAUCAAGAUGAUUUUGAAGCGCCACUAAGAAAUAUGAUGAUCCACUCCUUGCCAAGGCAAGGAAUUCAUCUCGUCCAUCUCAGUUCAUUUCGGAACAGAUUAAGGAUGACUGAUUAGACAAGGAUGCUCAGUACGAAGACCACAGCCAGAUGUUAGGAUGUGACCAAGCUAUAGGGAAUCAGUCCUCCAUGGGUUAUGACACAACGAGUCAAUCUCAGUCAUCCCUAUAGCAUGCAAAGGAGAAAUACAGAUCUUUACAAUCAAUUGACCCACUAGAUGUCAUUAAUAAGCAAUAACUUAAGAAGGAUGAUGAGAAUUUUCCAUUUAAGUCAAUCUCAAUCAUUCCUAUAGUGUGACAAAGGGAAAUGUCACUCAUUACAAUCAGUUGACUUAUCAUAUUCCAUCAAUGGUCAACAAUUUGAAGAGGAUGACAAGACUUUUCUCUAUGUAAUUUGAUUUUGUGAAAUCUGAUAUUUUAACAGUGAAAUGGACAUUAUUGCAUCUAUGAUGUUAUGUUUCCAAUAUGUAAACGAAGCAUGGACAGAGAAGAAAUAUCUUGCUCAUGUUACCCAAGAUGACAAACAGGACACUAGAUCAUCCACCAAAUUAGUUUAUGGGAGAAAAUAUAGAACAUGAGGAAGACAAUUGUUAACUUUGAGAAGAUGAACGAAAUACUAGUUAAGAUCGAACUAAACAGGAGUUUCUCAUGGUCACAGCUUUCCUACAAGCACUAGUAGAUAGCAGCAACACCAGAUCAGAUAGGUCAAUUCCAUUUAUUAACUGUGAUGUAUUUAUUAUUAUUUUUUCUAGUGGAAGGUAUAAGUUGGCAUACCACAUUAUAUACCACUAUCAUACCAAUCUAACCUCAGUAUUGGACCAAGAUUUAAAUCCUUGUGUCUUAAAAUAUAUUUUGAUUUUAUAAUUGAGACAAUAAAAAAUAAAUAUAAAAUUUAAUUGAGGCUUUAGGGGUUUGAAACUGAUACCAAUGGAUAUCAACAUCAUCGAACUGCAUAGACACAUGGUUCAAUGGUAAUGGUAUCACACCAAUCUGAUGGACUAACGACUAAUAUUGAUACUGAAUCAGGAUUUCGAAUUAUGCUGCAUAUCUCAAUAUUCAUGUCUAAUUCAAAUGUUUAAAACAUGAUUAUUUAAACUUCAGUUAAACAUCAUCAUCAUCUCUCCCCCCCCCCUCAUCCUAUAUAUUGCAUCAAUCUAUUAUCCAUGUAUCAUCCUUAUACAAAAACAUGCAAUUUAGGUUCAAUACUCUAGUUGUCAAUAUUGACAGUUUAAUCACAUAAGUUCAAAUCAACCUAUUUCAACCCAAUACUAGUUCUUUAAUCUUUUCUAUGCAAAACAAGGACACAUUAGAAAACACUAUUUUGUUAUUUUAAGCUAAUCUUCUAAUAAUGAAGGACUGACACAUAAUUCCUAGGAAUUCCUAUCUCUACUCACCAGGAUUUUAUUGUCGAGAAGUUCCAUUUAUGGUUUUAAUAGUCACAGGAAUUCUUGCCAGUGCCCAUGAUUCUUGCAUCUCUUUCUGUUCACCUUUUCCAAAUUCUUUUUCCUUCUUUUAGUGAUAACUUCAAAUUCAUUUUCUUUUGGUCACAGGGAUGACAUUCUAUUGAUGUGUCACAAUAAUAUAAGUUUGUCACUCCAAUGUAAUCAUGCAAAUUAAAUGUUUAAUAUUAGAAGUGCCUUUAGGCAAAAUAUUAAUUAUCCAAAAGAUGGCCCAAUUGUGUUCUAAAUAGGUUCCUCUUAAUGAGUAGCUUUUGGAGAAGGAAGAUAGUUUACAAAUAAUUUAACAAUCUUCAGUUUUUUUACCAAAUUUUGUAUAUUUUGAAAUAGAAACAGUUUAAUUGUCUCUGGCUUAUCUAUGCUAUCUAUGGAUAUUGCUUAAAUUCUUAAAUUGAGAAAAAAAUAGUAAAGGAUCAAGAUAAGACACAAACAUCUCUUCUUAAUAGUUGGUUUACUUAGAUUUCCAGUUUGCAACUCUUUAUUUCUCUUCGGUGAAGGUAUCAUUAGGUGCGGGCUGUAGAAAACUGUUAUGAAGAAAGUUUCUUGGAUGAAACCAGUUAAAGGCCACUUGUGCUCAGCCAUGCAGACUUAUAUUGCAUUGUACAUGGAUGUACAAUGUAAGUGACAGAUAACUGUACUAGUCCAGCAUAAAAGCUGUAACUGACAUAUAUAGGAAUGCACAGCACUGGAAGGUGCUGUGCUGGCCCUGAACCUAAGCAUGAAUAAUUUAUAAUUGCUUAUUGAUCCAAGAAAGAUUGUUCUAACCACAGGUUUAAAUUUUACAUGGACCAGUAUGUACUGCAUGGUAUUUCUGAUUCGGCCAAGAAUCGGGACAAGGACCACUCCUUUUUGGGUAGUUCAAGGCCGGUUCAUUGGCUACCAGAGGGUAAGCCAUGUACAAGGGGCACAAUCAUGUGCCGACCAGCAUGGCCACAGGCAUGCCCCUGUGGCCAUAAAUGGCAAUCCCUAGAAGAGUAUAUUUGAUAAGAUAGGCCUAACAAAACCAACAAAACUUUGUGAUUGGUAAAACAAGAGAGGCCUAACACUGACAUGAUUGUAGAGCCAAAGAAGUAGAAUGGAAUUGAUAAUACCUUCUCUUUAGCUCGCGGUGUGCCAGACUGUGAUAAUGCCACCAAUGGGGGCACAGCACCUUCUUGAAGAACUAGACUACAAAAUCUACCACUAUUGGUACACAGAUGAAGCAAAGCAGCAGCAGCAUUUUCUUUUCCUCGUGCAGACCCCAAUUCAACAACCUCCACAAGUACUGGAAUGCCACCAGCUUGACCAAUCGCAGUUCUCCCUUCUGGUAUAGUUGCAAGGUUUGAUAAAACAGCCACAGCCUUAUCAACCAUACCAGCUGCUGGGUCCAUCAGCUCUACUAAAUGUCUCACAGCCCCAGCCUGCACAAUUCGUAAUUUGUUCUCAUGAAAUAUUGACAAAUUAAAUAAUGCUGUUGCAGCAUCCUUCUUUCCUCGAGGAGUCCCAUUUGCUAAUAAUUCUACCAAAGGUCCAAUAGCACGAGACCGUCCAAUUCGAACCUUGUUUUCCUCAAUUACUGAAAGGCUAUAUAAUGUUGCAGCUGAAUUCUCUUUUGCUUCAGGGUUGCCUGUCUCAAGCACAUGAAUAAGAGGAUCAAUGGAAUCUGCAUUUCCAAUGGCAAUCUUAUUGUUGUCAUUGAGUGACAAGUUUAGCAGGGCUGUUACAGCAUGCUCUUGAGUCUUGGUGUCUGUUGAACGAAGAAGGCCAACCAACAAGCUUAUAGCUCCACAGUUUGCAAUCACAAUCCUAUUUUCCAUGCUGUGCUUAGCAAGAAGACGUAGCUCUUCUGUGGCAGUUCUCUGCAUGUCUCCAGAAUCACUUUUCAAAUCCUCAAUCAGUUUACGAACUUGGGUUUCAACACCUGAUAGGUCAGGCCUGGAAUCCAUGGAUUGAGAAGAAAUGAUACGAGGGACAGAUGGGCGCCGAAACAUACUUUGACUUCUAGCACGAGCAUCGACCAACCUUGGUGGGAAGUCAGGUUCUCUUUGGGGAGCAGAGGAUGCUUGAGCAUCCUGUGCAAGUUCCCCUGAGGUAUCACUGCUGUAAUGUGUUAGAUCACUUGAAACUUGUGAGGCCAUGUUAGCAUCCCCAGGUCCUUCAAUAUGAUCAUUAUUUGAAACAGCCUCAGAAGCAGAGUCAGUCCGGUUAUGACCUGGAAAUUGCCCAGGCUCUGAAUACUGUUUUGGUUGGUUGACAGUUUGGCUGCCAGAACUUGCAUGCCUCUGUUCCAUGCUAGAUUCCUUGUUGCCUUCAGUACUUACAAGUGAUAUUCUUGAAGUAUUUGCCUGUGAUCCAUUUGCAAGUUGCAAAGGUGAUGAACCAGAGGAUGAACGAUGAUGAGGAGAUACAGACUUAUCGUGCAGAUAAGUCUCAUGGGGAGUCUCAUGGGGGAAACCAUUAGAGGAAUGUGCAUCCCUUUGGGAAGUUGUCACUUCUACAUAACGUUCUGGAGAUCUUGGACGGUCAACCCUUGUAGCAUCACCAGAAUGAGAGACAAUUAAAUCAGUAGCACUUGCAUCUGUGGGCUUGAGAAAUGAUGAAGGAAGAUUCAAACUAAUGGACUUCAUUGGAUCAGGAAGCUUAAUGUUAUUUGACUCACACCAGUUGGCAAUUAAAGCCUUAACAGUGUAAUUUGGAAUCAAGUUGGUGUGCCCAAGUGUUUGACGGGUUCUAGGGCAAACAUUGAAACCUUGAUCAAGCCAUUUUCGGAUGAAAGCCCGCUCAUAUGUUUGACCGGAAGCCACAAUGACUGGGUCAGACAUCAGUUCUAGAGAAAGUGGGCAGCAAAAAUCAGCAGGAAUAGACACACCAUUGAUGCUCUGCAACUGCUUUGAUUUAACAAGGCAAUCGUGCAUAUAAGUGAUGAGGGCAAUAAUAUGAUCAAUGUUCUCCAGUUCUGCCUGAGUAACAUUGCAGCCAAUUUUCAAUUUAAGCUUCUCAAGUGCAACAGCCUCCAUCAGCAACUCUUGAUUAGAUGACAAGCUCAGAAAGUUUGAAAUCAUAUCCAAAUGCUCUGGUCUAGGAAUAUCCUUUUCUGUUUGAUCUCUUAUGGCCUUUUCAAUGACAACAGAUAUCGGUUCCUCAUCCAUGUGCUGAAAACCCUGUAUAGAGUGAUAAGACAAGUUUUCCAAAUAAAUCCAAGCAAAAGAGCAUGGAAUAUAAUCUAGGGGGAUUAAGACACUUUUGAUAAAGGCAUUUGAAAAAUGAUUUUGUAUUCAUUUGUUUCAUUACCUCAAUGCUUUUUAGCGCAGUACUAGCUACUGGAGUCAGAAGCAGAGAUUCAACCAAUUGACAAAUUUCAAGAGUAGAUGAAUAAAUCUUCGUUACAGUUGUUUCUAUUUGCAAAACCUGCACAGAGCAAUUCAGUUUCCAGUUACAAGUUAUUUGUGAGCAUGUUGGACACUACAGUAGGUCACAACAAGAAAGGUGCACUCCUUGUUCACAAAUUUUGAAAGAUGUAACAUAAAUAAGACUCAAAAGAGUUGGAAGCCAGAGGUAAUGAAUUUCGUGGAUUUAUACAAAAUAUCAGAUAAAAAGUAUCAGAUGCACAUAGCUGCUGUAAACUAAAAAGAGGUAAUCACAUAAAAAGUAUCAUAUAUACAUAGCUGCUGUAAAUAAAGAGCAUAAGUACAGUAAAAGAACAUCUAGAACCACAAAGCAUUAUAUUUCCCUUGUAUAAGACAGCUAAGUAAUUACAGACAUAUGUGGUUCCUUUCGUCUUUCCUUUUCCUUCUAUCGAAUAGCCUCUUCUGGUUUAAGUGUACAGAUAAAAGACAAAGAAGUGAAGAAUAAGAUAUAAAAAACCGAAAGUACUAAUCAUUUGCAGCUUAUCAAUGUGUCGAUUGUGUAUACAUCAAUAAUAAAGAGGCACUAUUAGUCUUGACAGUUGUCUGAAUUUUAAAAAUCCAGUGCAGCCAUAAAAAUCUAGGCCAUUACGUUUACAUCUGAAACUUCAUAAAGUUUCUAAACAGACCAUUCUUGUGAAUAAUCAAAGAGAAAACUUUCAUGUAUGCUCAGUUACAAAAAGCAGAACAUGAAAACUAAAUGAAACAUGCACAUCCUUGGAAAAAAAAUGGUAAACGAAAAGGCAUGAAAUAUUAUGCAUUCCUAUAACAAGCUUAUUUGGCUACUAACGAAACAAUCUAAUUGGUUUUACAAAACAAUGUCAUCAACUUACAAAAUAAAUUUUGCUCACAAAAUAAAUUUUGCUCGUCAUUGGGAACCAGCUCAGGACAAGUUCUCUGGCUUCAUUUACUGCAGAAUCUAGUUCUUUCAACACCUUGACUAGCUGCUCAUCCAAAGUUAUCUUAGAAGCAGCAAUUUCAUUGCACACCGGUUCAAAUUGCUCAAUGAUCUGAUCAAUUUUUUGACAGUAUCUUUGAACCAGCUCAGGUUUCACAUUGUUGUUAGAAGAUACAAGACUGAACUGUGCAAUGCUAUCCAGCAGUACCUUCAGCAAAAAUAUCUCCAUUGUACCUACACAAAAGCAAAAUUAUUUGUAUACUUCACAACAGAAUUGAAUAUGCAACAGAAACUGUAUUUUCCUGUCAAACUAGAUGUGAACAUCUAAUUUCAGGGUGUCAUACAAACAAAGAAGUACUUGAAUAUACAUUUGAUUAGUAGUAUUGGAUAUGUUCCUCAUGCAAAAAUCAACCUAGUGAAGCACUGUUGCAGGCAAAUAAAUGCAACAAAUAACACCAAAAAAUCACAUUAAAUUGAUCUAAUGCAUAUGCUUAUUGUAUGCCAAUAAAUAAUAAAAUAAAGUUUCACGAGAUCAAAUAUUUAAAUUUUCUGGCAUGCUCUGCGUUAAUGACCUGCCACUAUUAUACAGCUUGCUCAAUGUGGUACUAUAUAGCAUCUGGUCUGUCCCUGUUAGCUCAAACCAAAAGAUAUGCCAAAGUUGUACUUGUACAUCAGCACAACCUCAGAAGAACAAGAAACCGCAUGUUGACAAGCUGUGGCAUAUCCAAAACUCUCCAGAAUUCUGAACACUCAAAAUCAUUCUUAAGACAAUUAAAGGAAAAAAAUAAACCUAACAAACCAUGCACAACUUGUGAUCAAGUUAAAACAUCAAUAUCCCCCUCUUUGUAACCUGUCGCACUUAGCAGUUCAGUUUUAUACAGUUACAAUAUGGAUAUACUUAAUGUGUAAAAUAAGAAAGCUACCAAACUGUGCUACGGGCUUAACAACAUGCAUUAGUAAGUACAAACCAAAAUCUAUCUAUUAUCGUGAAAAGAAAAUCAUAUAUAAUAACAACAACAAAACCAUAAGCUUCAACUAUUUGGGGUCAGUUACAUGGAUCUUUUGCCACCAUUGAAACUUGUAAAAAGUCAUAUGCUUAGUUAAGUUCAGAGUACUUAAACAUUUUUUAUAGUUUCUAUUAAGGUCUUUUAUGUCUUCCAUUAUCUUUUCUUGUAUCACUAACAUUAAUCAUUUCACCUCUUCUGACCACCACAUCUAGAUGUCUCCUAAACACAUGCACAUACUAUCUUAAAUGAUUUUCUUUUAUCUUAUCCUCUAUUAAAGCGAUAUCUAGUUGUUCAUGAAUAAAAAUAUUUUUUUCUAUCUUUCUUAAAAACUCCACACAUUCAUCUCAACAUUCUCGACAACACAAACCUUAUGUAUAUGUUGUUUCUUAACUGUCCAACACUCAAAUCCAUGAAGCAUUAUUAGAUUCACAACUAUCUUAUAAAUUUUUUCUUUUAAUCUCAAAGGUAUUAGAUAAUCACACAAGACUCUUGCCACUCCUCGCCAUUUUAACCAUCCUAUUUUUACUCUAUGAAUAAUAUCUUUAUCGAUCUCUCCAUCUUAUUAAAUAAUUAAUCCAAGAUACCUAAAGCUUUUACUUUAAAAAAACUUUUUGUCCAUCCAACAUAACUAUAUUCUUAUGUCUAUUUCUAGAAUCACUAAAAUUACCUUAUAUAUUUAGUUUUAGUCUUACUUAAUCUAAAACCUUUAGUUUCUAAGGCUUACCUCCAUAACUCAAGUCUAUAAUUAAUUCCACUUAGGCUCUUAACAACUAAGAUAAUAUCAUCAUUAAAUAAUAUACACUAAGGAGUUCUAUCAUGUAAGUGACUAGUAAGUUCAUUUAUUAUCAAUAUGAAAAAGUAGGGACUUAAUGUAGAUCCUUGAUGUAAUCCUAUGCUAAUAGAAAACUCACUAGAUACACUCUUUAUAGUUCUAACACUAAAGACUACAUUAUUAUACAUAACAUCAAUAUAAUUAGUGGAUGCACCUUUCUUUUCUAAGACUCACCAUAAUAAAUCUCUAAAAACCCUAUCAUAGACUUUCUCUACGUCAAUAGAAACCAUAUGCAAAUCUUUCUUUUUUCUCCCUAUACAUUUCCAUUAAUUGUCUUAAUAAAUAAAUAGCUUCAAUGGUUACCUUCCAAGCAUAAAACCAAGUUGAUUUUUAGAGAUUUUUAUUUCAAGCCUUAUUCUACUUUCAAUAACUUUUUCCUAAUGUUUCAUAAUAUAGCUGAUGAUUUUAAUUCUAUAAUUUGAAUAAUUUUGUAUGUCACCCUUAGUUUUGUAAAUUGACACUAAAAAACUUUUUUCACUCAUCAAGCAUCCUUUUGAAUCUCAUGAUUUUGUAAAAAGAAAUACCAAAUGCGAUUUGUAAAAAAAAAAUACCAAAUACCAAUUCACAUUUGAAAUGUGUAUUGAGCCCUCGAUGCAUAUUUCAAAAGUGUUCCCAUAUACACGCUAUAUCCCCAAGAAUGAUUGCUUAAGACGGACCAAUUCGGGUACUUUUCCCAUAGGCGAGACAAGAAGAAGUAUGAGGCCAUGAUUUCUCGGAGUAAAUCUCCAAAUUGGAGUCGGGUAUAUAUCAAUUUUUUUUCUUUUAUCUUCUUUAAAACCUUCCCUUCUUUUUUCCCACAACUAGUAAAUCAUAGCAAAAGAACAUGUUGUUUGCCCAUCUACGUUAUGGUCCUACAUCAUAUUGGUAUCAGAGUCACUUGAACUAUAUCAGUCUCCUAACAUACCAAACUUAAACAGCAACAAUUCUCCUUGGAUUCCACUGUUUCUCUAUGCUAGUUGCUACUUUAAUGAGCAGGAGCUUUCGUUUAAGCUCUUUAAGUUGUCCUAGCUUUUUUGCAUGAUAUGGUGUGUUUGAGGGAAUUUUAAUGCUAUCAGCAAUCCUUUGUUAGCUAAGCUAGUCUCAUCAACUCUGGGAAUAAGAAGGGCCUUGUCAUCUAGCGUAGAUGUCCAUUAACAACAGUUCAUCCUCUCAGACUUAGGUUAGACUUGAGAGAACCCUCACAAACCCACUUUGGAUUAGUAUCAUUAUGGCUUCCAAGUCACCCAAUGGCUCUUUUUUAGUGGUGCUUUAUGAACCUAUAGGUGGCAUGAGACAUGUCAGGCCAGAAAGCUACUGGAUGGAAUAUAAGGAGAGACGCUGAGAUCUCAUAAUCCAAUCCUUCUGACAACCCUAUGCACAAACUUGCGUGACACAUGAUGUGAGAGGAACAACAAAAGAUGACCAUUUUUUGUUAUUUUUUAUAGCAAUAGCAAAGAAACAUCAUUAUCUAAAAUAAUGCUAAAUCUCAGACUUUUCAUUCUUCUACCAGGAUAGAAAGGUUUCUCUAGUCUCAGUCACUAAAAAUCAGUGACCAGAGCAUCUUGGAUGAAACAACAUGAAGCCAGCUCUAAAUAAGACAUGGCAUAUUUUAUUAUUUGUAAAAGAUAAUAUGCUCAAGCAAACAAGCAACAGAAUUAGAAGCUCCUAGGAUAAUUAGUUGCAUGAAACUUACAGCCUUCAUCUUGAAAUUGAAUUAAGCUCUAAAUAAGGUUCCCAAACAAAAACCUAAAGUCAAAUGAAAACCUAUUUGGUUUGAGUUAAAUACAACAACCAGAUGAAAGGAAACCUUUAUGACCAAUUUUAAUGGGGAAAUCCAACCCUAUAUAAAUCACCUUUGCAGAGUUUAACCAAUUCACAUACGGAAGACAAGCAGAAAAAACUGGCAAAAAAAUUAUCACUCCUGCUCGAUUUUAAACUUUUAGAUGAAAGUUCAUUGUUUAUUGAUGUUAGAUAGACUACCUAAAAUAUGAUUUGCUUUCAACAACCUAAAAGUGUUAAAUGCAUAAUUUUGCAGCCACUUGAUAACUGGCAAUCAACUUGGGCACAGUAGAUUAGAAUUGACCACAGACUAUAUGCAAUGAAAAUGUUCCCUGGACAUCACUUUAAUUGUAGAUGACAUGGAUUCUUGAAAAAUUCACUUACGGUUUCAACCACAUGGUAGGAACUACAGACUUCCACAGCAACCACAGAUGUCAGACUCCAAAAAAUUUAGUAAAAAAUUUAGAAGAAGACAUACAAAACCAGUAACAACAAUAAUUUGAGCUCAGUGAGAACAGUUGCACAGCAGGUUGAGCAACACCACUAAUUAUGGAUCAACUACUGCACACCAAUAGCAAUACACAAGAACAAAAAGAUUGAUAAGGAGGGCCACUCGGACCCAACAUCAAAGAAAAAAAAUCCAUUUGUGGAUAACCAUAAUGUCAAGAAUUAUCAGAAAAAGAAAUCAAAAUCUUAUAUUAAGAAAGCCCUGUAUCUGAUACCUACAGCAAGUAGAAGAAAAAUGGAAGACAGCAAUCUGAGCACAAUGAUGACAAGGAAGCUCAUCCAGCCAUGUUGCUGAAGGCUGAGAUAAACUGAAGGAGGAGAUUGAGGAUCAGAUUCCUGAACCAAAGGAGAAAAAAAGGUGAAGCCUACGAUGGAUGAGAAAGAGAAGGGAAAGAAAGGCGCUGUUCUUGAGUAGGAGAUACUGAUUGAAUUCACUGUAGAUGACUUACAGGAAGGCUGCAAGGAUGGAUAAAUAACUGACAAAUUUUGGAGACAUGGAGGACCAAGAGGGGGCAGGCAGAAAGAAGACAAUGAAAAAGCAUUAUAACCCUGAGUCAGUUUUUUAACUUGUUAUCUAAUAUAUAACCCACAGUCAUCUCUAAACUACCACCAAAUGCAUUAUUAUAUUGUUAUCUAAGCAUUAGUAUUAGCUUUAUAUAUCAUAUAAUUAGGACAAAGAUUGCUUUUGCUUUUGCUUUAGAGAGAAUGUUCUGCAUUGGACAUGAAAAGCAAUAUGGAACAGAUAAACACCAGCAUCAAUGUUUAAGUGUGAAAUGAGCUCUAACAACAAAAAUAUCUAGAUGUGAUUUAUAACUCAAAAAACAAUGUAUUAAACACAGGAAAAUAACUUACCUAUGGUUGAAUUCCAGACUUUGGUUCACCUUCCUCUUUCUUCGUCAGAACUUUGAAAAAGAAAACAGAAAUCAGAAAUAACAUUUAACCAAAUGAAGCUGAUGCGCACUGAUUAAUACAUAAAGUUGCAGAAACGGGAACAAUUACUUAUAAAGUCAUCGCAAACUAAUGAAUGAUUAACAUAAUGAUUCGUAUACGACUGGAUGGAGUAGUCCAAAAAUAUACAUGCUCAUUAAAUCCACAUUCCCAACCUGUGAUGCAUAUAUAGAAUACGUUUACAUUGUUCGACAGAAUUCAAAAAACAUCAUAUGCAACUAUGAGAAUGCCAAUACCACAUUUGCUUUAAAAACAGUAAGUUGAUUGUCCAAAUUAGUGCAACAUACAAGGAGAAAGAAGAAUAUGAUCAACGAACUUCAGCAGUCCAGGUAUCAGAAAGAUGGCAAACACCACAGGAUAAAGCUUAGAGAACUUACAAAUGAGGGUGGUAUAAAGACUUGAAUAAUUCAAGAAAUUCACAACAAAAGGGCAAAAUGAUUCUGAUCAAGCAAUCAAGUCUAAAUGGAAGGAAGAUAGUUCGCAUUUGAUCGUUGCUACUAAUCACAGAUGCAUCACAAACAAAUGAAGACAUAAGAGCAUAUCGCAUGUCAAGGGAAGAACAAGAGCAGCACGUGCAAAAGAGAGGAUAAAUACAUACGAAUAUGUUUACAAUUAAAAUUGGAAUGUACAGGGAGUGACCGACAAUUUCAGCCCCAUGAUUCUCGUUAGAUCAUUAGAUCGUACACAAAAGAGAAUCAAAGAACAAAAAGGAACUACCUUCGUAAUCCACACAAGUACCUUAAAUCGACAAGCAAUAGAAUCAACAAAAAACCUAGGAAUAACGAAAAGAACCGCCAGGAUCCACAAAUAAUCAAAUGGAUUGCGAAGAAACAUUAGGUUUGCACACGAGCGGGAAUGUAGCGGGUGGUGAAACGAUUGAACACAUGGAUUGGGUUGAGGUGGAUAAAGAAAACACACCAUUCUUCUGCCGCAGCGACGACGGGACCUCCCCGCUCCGAUUCUGCUUCAAGGAGCUGCUGAUUGAUUCGCCGAAAGAGACGACGCGACCCCCGCGCCCACGAGAGCGCAAGAGAAGGGGAAGCUUACGAAUCCGGCAAGGCGAAGAUGCUGGUGGAGGAGGAUCGAUGGCGGGGACGACCACGCGAAGGCGCAGGGAAAGAUCUGGUAUAUAGGGAUCGGGGAAAGGGGGGAAUCGCGUCGUCUGCUACUUUACCCUUUCUCCAUUGGGCUUCCGCUUGCCGGUAAUUUGACUCGCCAUACUUUUUUAGUCGACAGCCCACCUGUGAUGACCGUCAACAAAGAAUAGGAAGCACGCGUGCGAAGCCGAACCAAGCAUGCUGGUUGCGGUUGAGGAUGAUGUGGAGUCGGGCGCAGAACCCGAAUCCGAUAGUGAACUUAUUUGAUCCAAUGCAAGGAUCCAUGCCCGAAAUUUUGGGGGUCAGAUAUCGGAUUUAUAAAUGUUGCCAUCAGUAAUUUGCAAUUACGGUUUUUUUUUAGUGAAAGUGGAUUGAUUGUAUUUAUCUUAUUUCAUGGAUUUAGAAAUAUUCAACUCCUCCUAUCUUAUUUCAUGGAUACAGUUGUGUGUAUGUCAUGGAAGAAGAAAAAGAAAGAUCGAUCAAGAUAAGUAUUUCAAAUUGUUAUAUGGAAAACUUUUGUUACUUUAGUUUGAGACUCUAAUUGUUGUUUUUUAAUACGUAAUAUCUGAAACUAACUUAAGUAUUGGAUUUGUUAUAUCAUAUCACUCUUGAUAUUAGUUUUAUUAGUGAUACACGUGACAUGAUACAUUUGUCUGAGGAAAACACUAGUAUCCGGUUAUCAUCACAAUGAUCGGCUUAAGUCAAUAACAUAGAUUAACGAUAAAUUAUGACACUAAUAUAUGUUAUUUUCUUAGUAUAGAAAAUGAAAGAAAUUUUAAAAAAAAUCAAUCACUUGAUUAAUAUAGAUUUAAGUCGAUCGCUCGAAUAAUGAAAGAAAUUAAAAAAAUUCAUCAACCAAUAGUUAGUAUUCACCAUAAAUUAUUUUUCUUAGUAUAUUAGAGAUAUUUAUGUACGUGUUUCAUGAAUAAUUUUUGGGACCUUGUAUAUAUGUUAAUUAAUAUUAUUUAAUCUUAAUCACUAGUCUUUAGAGAAGUUUGAAAUGUAUUUGUUCCUAAUAAAGAUUAGAAUAACUUGUGAGUGUGAUUUUUCUUUUUCUUUUUUAUUUUUUUGGCCUAGCAAAGUUCUUUACUUGGUCUUUGCAUGUUGAUCCCUCUACAAAACAAAGAUCCUGUUUUGUCUAUUGUUCGGUCCACUAUUAUGUUUUCUUCUUUGUAAAUCUUACAUAAUUUCAGCUAUUAACAAAAAAUAACUAUUACUUGAACGAGUGCAGAAUAAGUCUUGCGCAUCAAAAACUAAGAGCUCGAUGAAGUCUUUCUAUCCAUGCAAGUCCAACUGUACUUAGUUAACCUUCCUCUUUGCUCUACUGAGGCAACCAAUAAGUAGAUUGGUUGAUCUCACACAUUAUACUUCAAAAAAAGAAAAACUCUAAAUAAAUAAAAAUAUAUGUUGUGCUGGUAACUAUUAAGGGACUCAAUCAAUAUAAAGGUUUGCAUCAAUUUCCAUGUGUCUAAUGUUAUAUACCCAAUUGAGGAGCAACCUUUAAUCCCACUAGGAUGCCUUUAGCUUCAGAGUAGAGAGGGUAGAGCAGUUGGCUUUGUCACAGAAGCUGCAACCAGCAGCUAAACAGACUCCAUUGCUAUCCAUGAGGAAGUGAAGUGUCUUGGCAAGAACCAUUAGUAUUAAAAGGAUAAUCCAUUAGGCAUCAGUUUGUUCCAUUUGAUGAGAACUUGGGCAAUUCUCAUGGUAUUCUUAAGAUUCAGUGAAGGGGGUUUUCAUCCAAGUACUUAAGAUAUAACAGCGAAGCUACUAGUUGGUGAAAAAUAGAGGAAGGGAUUGGUUUGUUUGAUGUUAGAGAAACAAGUACUGAUUUCCAAAUCAGCCAAAAGAAGUUGGAAUGAGAGCUCUUCUUAAGGUAUUUUGCCCCAUUGAUCUUCCAAUAUGUUAGUUUCAACAAUUAUCGUUCUUUACAUUAGUACCAUGGUAUUAGCACCAUGGCUUUCAACCUAAAUGGUUUCAAUUUCAACCAAUCCGUAGUUGACAGUCAGGGUCGUGUCAUUAAUACGGGUUGAUAUCAUCAAUCGUGCUCAUCUUGGUAUGGAUGGAAGUAAUACAUGAACGUAAUGCUCAUAACUUCCCUUUAGACCUAGUCGAAGUUUCAUCUACAAAUGGAUAAGAUUUUUGUCUUAGUGUAUACGAAUCGUUGAAACAAAGUAGCAAUACCCCAUAUAA